UUUUUUUUUUUUUGUAAAUAGAAAGAUGAUUUAUGAAUGGAGCCCAAGAAGUGGACGGUCAGUCAUUAUAAAAGUAUGUGGAUCGUGCAUCAGGCAAGUAGUCCUCGUGUUUGAUAAAUUAAUGAAGAGGGAAUAUUAAGCGAAUAAUGUUAUAGAUACCAAAUUUAUAAAUUAAAUUAUAUGGAUAUAGAUGAUUGGAUUAUUACUUACGUGUUGAUUAACGUACUUAUUUUCUAUUUAUGACAUAUAAUUGAUUUGCAAAUUUGGUUUAAAUAAGUAGUCUCCCUAGAAUUAUUCAUACUAAGUAACCUCUCUAUAUAGAUGCCGGAUGUAUCUAAACUACCUAUAAACAAAGGGUAAUGCUAGGAAGACAAAAAAUUUAACCAAAUUUUGUAAACAAAAUUAUGUAGUUGUUGAUGAUUGGACUGUUACUUAAAUGUUGAGUAACGUGUUUAUUUCUUAUUAAUGACACAUAAUUUGGUUUGCAAUUUUGUUUAGAAAUUUGGUUUCUCUAACAUUAUCCAUUAACAAAACUCUCUUAGUCAAUCAAAACAAGGUGAAAGACAACAUAGUCUUCUAUUACAAAUAAAAUCAUGGGCGGUAAUGUAAUUUUGCACAAACCAAAUUUGUCUUUUUUUUUAAAGUCUCACAUAUAUGUAAUCCUAGCAUAUCUAAAAAAUAAAAAACUCUCUCCCAAUCCCAAGAUCUCUUUCUCCUUCUCUCCUUCCCUUUUUAAAAACCAAAAUAAAAAAUGUUCACACACACAAAGUGUGUGGGCGUCCGUUAGUAACGUAUAAUGAAAACAUCUAAUAGGAAUUUGUUGAGAUUAUUUUGAUCAAUUAUUGUAUACAGAAACAUGCGCUUUCCAAUAAAAGAUUAGACUAGCAAGAAAAAGAAAUAUAACUUAUAGUUUGGAAUGAGCAUUUGAAGGAAUGUACUAUAAAUCUGAAGAGAGAUACAAUUCACAGUGCUCUUUUUCACGCGAUAUUCAUAUGUACAAGAGCUCAAAUACCCCCUUAUAUAUUUGCAAAUAUUUUAUUAUAUUUUAACCAAAACCCCUCCCUGCUUCGAGUCCGAAGAUGAGGAUUCUACUCUAACAGAACGAAAAGAAUAAAGGAUCAAACUGCGGUUUGGUCAAGCGUAAUGAUAGUGAGCGUUUUAAAUCUUCACACAUUGGUCUACAAUAAAACUAUUUAGUUUUAGUUCAAUAUUAUUUAUAGGCAGCUAGAGAACAUAAGCACCCUCCAAAAUCACUAUCGACAUCAAGAGAUAGCCAUAUAAUAUAAUUAAGUAGCAGCUUCAUUAAUAUACUUUAGACUUUAGUAGUUUAUGAGAAAGAGAAAUUUAAUUAUGACAAUUUCUCAACUUUCUUGACUUUGAGAUAAAGCUAGCUUAGGGAAUCUCAUUCUCCAAUCAUAAAAGGUGCUCGGUUAUCUGUUUAUUAACUUGUGUUUAGGGCCUUGUUUCAUGCUAUAGAUUAUCUUUAAGUUUUCACUUUUCAUAUUCUUCGUGUAGGUAGUCUUCCGUUUCUUGGGUCAAAAUAUAUGCAUAUAGUCUCCCUAUAUGCAUAUAUUUUGAAGGAGAUUUUUGUAGAUGUAAUUUAAGUGGUUUUUUAUUUUUUAUUUUAUUUUUUAGGUUAGUAUUCACUCCACCCAAGGUAUAAAGGAGGUAAUUAACUAGAAAACUAUGUACUUUGUUGCAUCGGACAUGAAAAAAGAGAAGAAAUUGCUACUUUAUCAUUGGAAAAGAAAAUAAAUUGAUACUUGUCUUAAUAUCUAUAAUUUCAUGCGGCUUUGUUUAGAGCUACUUUAUGAAACUCAAGAUAAGACUCGUGGCAACUUUUUAAUCAUAUUCUCAAGAUCACGGGCCAAUAACAUAAUCAUAUACUUUUGCUAAACUAUGAAACAUUAAUUAACAAAAAAGACCAUUGUGGAUGCAAGUUUUGUAUGAGACUAGAUUGAUGAAAUUACACCAGCAAGACAACAAACAUUAUUAGCCUAAUUAAUGAACAACAACAACAACAACAACAACAAAGCCUUUUCCCACUAAGUGGGGUCGGCUAUAUGAAUCCUAGAACGCCAUUGCGCUCGGUUUUGUGUCAUGUCCUCCGUUAGAUCCAAGUACUCUAAAUCUUUUCUUAGAGUCUCUUCCAAAGUUUUCCUAGGUCUUCCUCUACCCCUUUGGCCCUGAACCUCUGUCCCGUAGUCACAUCUUCGAACCGGAGCGUCAGUCGGCCUUCUUUGCACAUGUCCAAAUCAUCGGAGCCGAUUUUCUCUCAUCUUUCCUACAAUUUCGGCUACUCCUACUUUACCUCGGAUAUCCUCAUUCCCAAUCUUAUCCUUUCUCGUGUGCCCACACAUCCCACGAAGCAUCCUCAUCUCCGCUACACCCAUUUUGUGUACGUGUUGAUGCUUCACCGCCCAACAUUUUGUGCCAUACAACAUCGCUGGCCUUAUUGCCAUCCUAUAAAAUUUUCCCUUGAGCUUCAGUGGCCUACGACGGUCACACAACACGCCGGAUGCACUCUUACACUUCAUCCAUCCAGCUCGUAUUCUAUGGUUGAGAUCUCCAUCUAAUUCUCCGUUCUCUUGCAAGAUAGAUCCUAGGUAGCGAAAACGGUCGCUUUUUGUGAUCUUCGCUAGAUUGCUCCGGUCAUUAGUGUGGAUAAGUAUAUAAAUGGAUAGAGAUAGGAAAGCAAAACACAAGAUGUACGUGGUUCACCCAGAUUGGCUACGUCCACGGAAUAGAAGAGUUCUCAUUAAUUGUGAAGGGUUUACACAAGUACAUAGGUUCAAGCUCUCCUUUAGUGAGUACAAGUGAAUGAUUUAGUACAAAUGACAUUAGGAAAUAUUGUGGGAGAAUGAUCUCGUAAUCACGAAACUUCUAAGUAUCGGAGUGUGGUGUCGUCUUGACUUGCCUUAUCUGUCUCAUAGGUAGAUGUGGCAUCUUCUCUGGAAGUACUCUUCCUCCAUCCAGGGGUGGUAUCUUUAACUGGUGGAGAUGCACAAGGUAAUGUAUCAAUUUCACUUGAAGCUUACUUGUAGUCUCAGGCUUGGUCAAGCGCGAUACAAACCAUGUAGUAGGAGUCCCCCAAGUCGCCGAGCUAGGGGGUCUGCUGAAAGAGGUGACAGACAAGGUAAGCAAUCAGAGCUCCGACUGAUUGUUCACCUUCUCCCCAUCUUGCAGCAGCAUGAAGGAUAAAAGAGAAGAAAAAUGAGAAGAGAUGAUAUAUGAGAUACUUUUGCUUUUGAAGAAGUAACUUUCCACAGGCUUAUUCUUGAACUGAGCUGGAGGGUUUUCUGGUUUCCUCCAGAGUAUAAGGCCGACUGAAGAAUUUGAGGGUCAAAACAAGUCCAUCAAAUCUAGAGUACGUUCCACCCUGCUGAUAUGGGAUACUUUUGCUUUUGACAGAGUAAUGGAUGUAUCGGCACGUGUGCUGUUACGCUUGUCUCCACAUGCUUCCUUGUAUCCUUCGCACUUGCCCUAUCUGUUCCUCAAGCAGAUGCGGAAUCUUCCCUGGAAACAUAAGAUGUUGAAGAUGAGUACUCGAGAGCAAUGCCAGGUAAGUAAUCAGGUAAGGGGUUCCAGGCAGUCAGUUCCUGGCUGGAAGCUUGAUUCCAAGUGCUGACUGAUUGCUCUCUUUCUCCUUGUCUUGCAGGUAAAAACAAGGCCAAAGGAAAAGGCAGGGAAAAAGCAUGAUAUAGGAUACUCUUGCUUUUAACCCUGAUGAUAUGAGAUAUUCUUGCUCUAGUAUAGCUUGUUUGCAGAGGUAUUAUCGGGGGGAAAGAAAGCUGAAUAUUUCGAAAGGCUUCGUUGGGAGUGCCCCUCUCAGAUAUGAUGAAGGGUUGAGCAUUUUUGCAGGUCUGCCUGUCCGUUGGGGAUGGAGGUCGACAUAUAUAGGAGUCUCCCUAACAACAAGUAGUAAUGCUAUUCCUUUACCCUGCUUGGUCAUAGCACGGUAGUGGGAGCUGCCAGUUUCACAUGUUUUAACUCUGUCAGAGCACUUUGAAAAAGUGGUCUGUGGUAUCUGGCUCUCGAGAUUCGGAGAACGAUGCCUCUUCGAUUUUUGAGAAAGCAAUCAUGCUGGGGGUCUGGCUCUCGAGAUUCGUAGAGCAGUGUCUCUUCGAUUUUUGAGGAAGUAAUCAUGUUGGGAGUCUGGCUCUCGAGAUUCGGAGGGCGGUGCCUCUUCGAUUUUGGAGCAAGCAAUCCUGUUGGGAGUGUUGUCUCGAAUGUGAGUAAAGGUUGGGCAUGUUUGCUAGUCUACCUUGCCACGAAGCACAAAGGUUGACACACAGGGACUUUCCAAUUAUCCAGCAAUGGUACUGUUCCUUUACCCUCUCUUCGUUUUUUGAGUAAGUAUUCAUGUUGGGAGUCUGGCUCUCGAGAUUCGGAGGACGGUGCCUCUUCGAUUUUGGAGCAAGCAAUCUUGUUGGGAGUGUUUUCUCGAAAGUGAGUAAAGGUUGGGCAUGUUUGCUAGUCUACCUUGCCACGAAGCACAGAGGUUGACACACAGGGACUUUCCAAUUAUCCAGCAGUGGUACUGUUCCUUUACCCUUGUGGGUAAUAAUAUGGUAGCUAGACCUUCAAAAUUUAUGUGUCUAAACUUUGUUAGUGCUGUUUCUUUGCUAUUCUUUUACCUUUCUUGGUCAGAGCGAUGUAGUGGGAGCUGCAAGCUUCACGUGCUCAACUUUGGCAGAGAACUUUGGCAAAGUUAUCUGUGGUACCCAUGAGCUAUUGUUGCGUGUGGGAAGUGGGUGAUUGAACAGUAAGAUUCAUGUGCUUUUUACUUCACCAGAAGUCUUCGACAGAAUGCCCAUAAUUUCUGCAAAGCUGAGUGUGUGUGUGAUAGGUGCUGACAAGGCUAGAAAAGUAGGUGCCUCUUCGAUUUCUGAGAUCGGCCCUCGUGGUUUCUGAGCAGCCCAGCUUUUGAGAAAGCGAGCGCCUCUUCGAUUGAUUCGGAGAACGAUGCCUCAUCGAUUUUUGAUAAAGCAAUCAUGCUGGGGGUCUGGCUCUCGAAGAUUCGGGGAGCAGUGUCUCUUCGAUUUUUGAGAAAGUAAUCACGUUGGGAGUCUGGCUCUCGAGAUUCGGAGGGCGGUGCCUCUUCGAUUUUGGAGCAAGCAAUCUUGUUGGGAGUGUUUUCUCGAAUGUGAGUAAAGGUUGGGCAUGUUUGCUAGUCUACCUUGCCACGAAGCACAGAGGUUGACACACAGGGACUUUCCAAUUAUCCAGCAAUGGUACUGUUCCUUUACCCUCUCUUCGAUUUUUAGGAAAGUAGUCAUGUUGGGACUCUGGCUCUCGAGAUUCGGAGGACGGUGCCUCUUCGAUUUUGGAGCAAGCAAUCUUAUUGGGAGUGUUUUCUCGAAUGUGAGUAAAGGUUGGGCAUGUUUGCUAGUCUACCUUGCCACGAAGCACAGAGGUUGACACACAGGGACUUUCCAAUUAUCCAGCAGUGGUACUGUUCCUUUACCCUUGUGGGUAAUAAUAUGGUAGCUAGACCUUCAAAAUUUAUGGGUCUAAACUUUGUUAGUGUUGUUUCUUUGCUAUUCUUUUACCCUUCUUGGUCAGAGCGAUGUAGUGGGAGCUGCAAGCUUCACGUGCUCAACUUUGGCAGAGAACUUUGGCAAAGUUAUCUGUGGUACCCAUGAGCUAUAUUGUUGCGUGUGGGGAAGUGAGUGAUUGAACAGUAAGAUUCAUGUGUUUUCUACUUCCCCAGAAGUCUUCGACAGAAUGCCCAUAAUUUCUGCAAAGCUGAGUGUGCGUGUGACGGGUGCUGACAAGGCUGGAAAAGUAGGUGCCUCUUCGAUUUCUGAGAUCGGCCCUCGUGGUCUCUGGGGAGCCCAGCUUUUGAGAAAGCGAGCGCCUCUUCGAUUUCUGAGAUCGGCCUUCGUGGUCUUUGAGCAGCCCAACUUUUGAGAAAGCAAACGCCUCUUCGAUUUCUGAGAUCAACCCUCGUGAUCUCUAAGCAGCCUAGCUUUUGAGAAAGCAAACGCCUCUUCGAUUUCUGAGCAGGCGCCUCUUCGAUUUCUGAAGCUCCGUCGAGUGCAGAUUUUUAUAGAGGCUGACAUUAAGUUCCAAAGCACACUUGAAUCUCCACCAGUAGAAGCUUCAUUCUUGCACUUCUAAGAUCUUGAUUUGUCCGACCUCUUCUCUCUUCAACACCUUUGAAAAUGUCUGGCCCCUCCGACCGUCAUUUUGACUUGAACCUUGUUGAAGAGGCAGCCCCGCCUUCUCCAGACAACAUAUGGCGCCCAUCCUUCGUCUCCCCUACUGGUCCUCUUACCGUUGGGGAUUCCGUGAUGAAGAAUGAUAUGACCGCUGCGGUGGUGGCCAGGAACCUUCUCACUCCCAAAGAUAACAGACUACUUUCCAAACGGUCUGAUGAGUUAGCUGUUAAGGAUUCGCUGGCUCUCAGUGUUCAGUGUGCAGGUUCUGUGUCUAAUAUGGCCCAACGCCUAUUUGCUCGAACCCGCCAAGUUGAAUCCUUGGCGGCUGAAGUGAUGAGUCUCAAACAGGAGAUUAGAGGGCUCAAGCAUGAGAAUAAACAGUUGCACCGGCUCGCACAUGACUAUGCUACAAACAUGAAGAGGAAGCUUGACCAGAUGAAGGAAACUGAUGGUCAGGUUUUACUUGAUCAUCAGAGAUUUGUGGGUUUGUUCCAAAGGCAUUUAUUGCCUUCGUCUUCUGGGGCUGUACCGCGUAAUGAAGCUCCGAAUGAUCAACCUCUGAUGCCUCCUCCUUCUAGGGUUCUGUCCAGUACUGAGGCUCCAAAUGAUCCCCCUCCGGUGCCUUUCUCUUUCUGGGGCUCUACCGACUGCUGAGACUUCUCCUAAGCAACCUUUGUGAAGGCUCCGUCUUUGUGUGUUUAUUUUGACUCAUGUAUAUGUACAUAUUUGUAGCUGAUCGGGGAUAUCAAUAAAUAAGCUUUCCUUCAUUUCAACGUAUUGUGUUAAAUACACCAAAGCCUUCUUCGCUAAGUUCUUUGAAUUUUCUUUUUGUUGAAGCUUGUAUGUUGAAGCUUUCUGAGUGGAGCAUGUAGGUUGGGGUAGUGUUCCCUUAAUUUCCCGAGUGAGGAAAACUUCUCGGUUGGAGACUUGGAAAAUCCAAGUCACUGAGUGGGAUCAGCUAUAUGAAUCUUAGAACGCCAUUGUGCUCGAUCCUGUGUCAUGUCCUUCAUUAGAUCCAAGUACUCUAAGUCUUUUCUUAGAGUCUCUUCCAAAGUUUUCCUAGGUCUUCCUCUACCCCUUCGGCCCUGAACCUCUGUCCCAUAGUCGCAUCUUCUAAUCGGAGCGUCAGCAGUAGGCCUUCUUUGCACAUGUCCAAACCACCGUAACCGAUUUUCUCUCAUCUUUCCUUCAAUUUCGGCUACUCCUACUUUACCCCGGAUAUCCUCAUUCCUAAUCUUAUCCUUUCUCGUGUGCCCACACAUCCAACGAAGCAUCCUCAUCUCCGCUACACCCAUUUUGUGUACGUGUUGAUGUUUCACCGCCCCAACAUUCUGUGCCAUACAGCAUCGCCGGCCUUAUUGCCGUCCUAUAAAAUUUUCCCUUGAGCUUCAAUGGCAUACGGCGGUCACACAACACGCCGGAUGCACUCUUCCACUUCAUCCAUCCAGCUUGUAUUCUAUGGUUGAGAUCUCCAUCUAAUUCUCCGUUCUUUUGCAAGAUAGAUCCUAGGUAACGAAAACGGUCGCUUUUUGGUAUUUCUUGAUCUCCGAUCCUCACCCCUAACUCGUUUUGGCCUCCAUUUGCACUGAACUUGCACUCCAUAUAUUCUGUCUUUGAUCGGCUUAGGCGAAGACCUUUAGAUUCCAACACUUCUCUCCAAAGGUUAAGCUUUGCAUUUACCCCUUCCUGAGUUUCAUCUAUCAACACUAUAUCGUCUGCGAAAAGCAUACACCAAGGAAUAUCAUCUUGAAUAUGUCCUGUUAACUCAUCCAUUACCAACGCAAAAAGGUAAGGACUUAAGGAUGAGCCUUGAUGUAAUCCUACAGUUAUGGGAAAGCUUUCGGUUUGUCCUUCAUGAGUUCUUACGGCAGUCUUUGCUCCUUCAUACAUAUCCUUUAUAGCUUGGAUAUAUGCUACUCGUACUCCUUUCUUCUCUAAAAUCCUCCAAAGAAUGUCUCUUGGGACCCUAUCAUACGCUUUUUCCAAAUCUAUAAAGACCAUGUGUAAAUCCUUUUUCCCAUCUCUAUAUCUUUCCAUCAAUCUUCGUAAGAGAUAGAUUGCCUCCAUGGUUGAGCGCCCUGGCAUGAACCCGAAUUGGUUGUCGAACGAAACCCGUGUCUCUUGCCUCAAUCUAUGCUCAAUGACUCUCUCCCAGAGCUUCAUUGUAUGACUCAUUAGCUUAAUACCCCUAUAGUUCAUGCAAUUUUGUACGUCGCCCUUAUUCUUGUAGAUAGGCACAAAGUGCAAAGUGCUCAUUUGGCAUCUUUCGUUUUCUUCGUUUUCAAAAUCCUAUUGAAAAGGUCAGUGAGCCAUGUUUAUACCUGUCUCUCCCAAAAGUUUCCACACUUCGAUUGGUAUAUUGUCUGGGCCUAUUGCUUUUUUAUGCUUCAUCUUCUUCAAAGCUACAACCACUUCUUCCUUCCGGAUUCGACGAUAAAAAGAGUAGUUUCUACACUCUUCUGAGUUACUUAACUCCCCUAAAGAAUCACUCAUUUCAUGUCCUUCAUUGAAAAGAUUAUGAAAAUAACCUCUCCAUCUGUCUUUAACCGCGUUCUCUGUAGCAAGAACCUUUCCAUCCUCAUCCUUGAUGCACCUCACUUGGUUUAGGUCCCUUGUCUUCUUUUCCCUUGCUCUAGAUAGUUUAUAGAUAUCCAACUCUCCUUCUUUGGUAUCUAGUCGUUUAUACAUAUCGUCGUAAGCCGCUAACUUAGCUUCUCUGACAGCUUUUUUCGCCUCUUGCUUCGCUUUUCUAUACCUUUCACCAUUUUCAUCGGUCCUCUCCUUGUAUAAGGCUUUACAACAUUCCUUCUUAGCCUUCACCUUUGUUUGUACCUCCUCAUUCCACCACCAAGAUUCCUUUUGGUGUGGGGCAAAGCCCUUGGACUCUCCUAAUACCUCUUUUGCUACUUUUCGGAUACAACUAGCCAUGGAAUCCCACAUUUGGCUAGCUUCCCCCUCUCUAUCCCACACACAUUGGGUGAUUACCUUCUCUUUGAAAAUGACUUGUUUUUCUUCUUUUAGAUUCCACCAUCUAGUCCUUGGGCACUUCCAAGUCUUGUUCUUUUGUCUUACUCUUUUGAUAUGUACAUCCAUCACCAACAAGCGAUGUUGAUUAGCCACGCUCUCUCCUGGUAUAACUUUGCAAUCCUUACAAGUUAUACGAUCCCCUUUCCUCAUUAGAAGAAAAUCUAUUUGUGUUUUUGACGACCCACUCUUGUAGGUGAUCACAUGUUCUUCUCUCUUCUUAAAGAAGGUGUUGGCUAAGAAAAGAUCAUAUGCCAUUGCAAAAUCCAAGAUAGCUUCCCCAUCCUCGUUUCUCUCCCCAAAACCAUGGCCACCAUGAAAACCUCCAUAGUUGCCUGCCUGUCUCCCUGCCCACGUGUCCAUUUAAAUCUCCUCCUAUAAAUAACUUCUCCGUCUGAGCAAUUCCUUGCACCAAGUCUCCAAGAUCUUCCCAAAAUUUUCUCCUUCGAACUCGUAUCCAACCCUACUUGAGGUGCGUACGCACUAAUCACAUUGAUAAGUUCUUGUCCUAUUACAAUCUUGAUUGCCAUGAUUCUAUCUCCUACCCUCUUGACAUCUACAACAUCUUGUACCAAGGUCUUGUCCACGAUGAUGCCAACACCGUUUCUCGUUCUAUUUGUGCCCGAAUACCAAAGUUUAAACCCUGAGUUUUCUAGAUCCUUUGCCUUACUACCAACCCACUUAGUUUCUUGUAGGCACAUAAUAUUUAUCCUUCUCCUCACCAUAACUUCCACUACUUCCAUAGAUUUUCCCGUUAAGGUUCCUAUAUUCCACGUUCCUAAACGCAUUUUGCUCUCUUGAACUCUACCCUUCUGUCCUAGCUUCUUCACCCUCCCCCGUCUAAUAGGAUCAAAAGUACUUCUUUUGUGUGUCCCGGGUAAAGUUGAUAGGAGCAUAUGCUCCCAAACAACUUUGAGUGGAGUCGUUCGAAAAGAAGUUUCUAUGGCCCCCUUGCUCAUUUAACACUGCAUCCGGGUGCCGAUGGAGAUACAGCGACCCUUGCUCACUUAUCACUGUGCUCAGGCUACACAGCGCGCCACUUACGGGUGACGCCCUAGCUUUAGCGCGAUUUUGUUCUGGAUUCAUUUUCAUAAGGAUUCGACGUGAUCAUGGAGUGCCGGCUGUCGACUACCUGACGCCCUCCCCCUCCUCCUUUAUCCGGGCUUGGGACCGGCCAUGUAAGACAUAGGCGGAGUUAGCCUAAUUAAUGAACACCUCAAAAAAAAAAAGGAGGAUGUUUGCCAAAGGCCCUCGAUGCUCAAUUCAAACAGAUGGUAUGAGAGAAACAAAGAAUUCGGAGUAGUAAGUGGCAGCUACCAUUUUUUCUGUUUGACUUGGCUAUUAAUAGACCUAAACCCUAGCAUGCAGCUGGGAGGGUGGGUGUAGGCCAUACCAGACAAACCUUAAUAUUUUGCUAGUGAUGGUGCAUACCAAUCUUCGCAAAGCGUAGAAGCGUUGGACACCCAAAGGAGAAAUCUGAAGAGUCGGCUUCCUGCCACCAUUGGCCCGGAUUUUGGGGUGGUGACAUGACAUAUUAUAUAUGGGCAUAAAGCACCUUUGAUAUGUUAGUGACCUGAAGGCCUUGUACCCCCACGGGAUAGACAAGUGCCAUGUUCUUUCGUGUGGGGCAGACGAUGCCACGUUAUCUGGAGUACUCUAUGGUCUGCUUACAAUGUUGAGGGUAACCAUUAAUAUAGCGAGUGUAAAGUCCCCAAGUCCUUUACUUAUUUGAUGUGGUUAAUUUAUGUCUUCACAUCAAUCAAUAUAUGAACCAGUUAAUCAUAUUUCCAACGAGUACUUCGUAAUUGGAUAGUUCAUUCUAAGAAUUAGUCUUAUCAAUAUUUAUCAUUUAAAUAUUGAAAGGCAUCCUAAGUUCGAAUAUCCUUUAUCUUGGUGAUAGAAAAAAAAGCCUGACAAGUCGUGAAGAAUAAUAAUGCAACACUCAAAAAUAGCAAGGAACAUUCGUUUACAAUGUGUGUUAGAAACGAGGACAAUUUAGAUGGCAAAAAGCCAUUUUGUUAAACACAAAACCACGAUCACUUAAAAUGCCAACCUAAGUAAUGUAGAAUGAAUUGUCAAGGAAAUCGAGUAAUGGCCAAACCACAUGGUCUAUAAAUUUACACAACAAGGCUUUGUCGUGUGACAAAAUACAGGAGACUCAAGAAAGUACACAUCUUGUGGACCGAACAUAUUUUCGUAGACAUGCGCGAAUAGGUUUGAUCAAUCAUUUAUAUGUGCAGUAGUGGCAAUGCAACUAGAGCGAUAUGCUUGUUUUCCAGGUUCUCCACCAACAUGUAUUCAACAUCUAAAGUUUAGAUGCUUGACUACCUUGUUUGUCUGCCCCGAACAACCAACAUGGCGUUGUUUUGUUUGAGUUAAAAUUUCGACCAACCACCGAGAGAGCAACAUUGAAAUAGGCAGCCUAACGUACAAGAACCACACCGGCACGCAACACCCAAUGUGUACGUUAAGAGUAAGACAAGGACCUGAUUUUGCUCGUGUGCCACAUUCCAACAUAUCCCAAUUUGAAAUGUUCACCCACAAAAAGAGGUACUCAGUCGAUCUAUUCAUGAAAACCUACUUUUUAGUCUCGAUCUUUGGCUUUGAAAAGAGCAACUUGCAAAACAACGUGUUCAUUAUGGCGUCCUAGUCUAAUAAACUUUACAUAACUAUGAAUUAUUUGACUUAAACGUCAUAGUAACAGUAAACUCGUUACAUGUAAAUCCUACUUUACUUUGAGACUACUAAACAUAAAAUGUAAGUCCUUAGCAGUAACUUUUACAAACUAAAACAUAUCACUCCAAAGUCUCCAAUCUUUGCUGACUACUCCAAAGUCUCGAGAAAUAAAAGCCUCACAGUUAUAUUUCACUUAUUUUCGAUAAGUUUCGUGCUUAACAUUUGUUUGUAUGUGAUGUCCUACAGUUACAUAUGCUCUCGACCCAAUAUAUUUUGAUCAAGCUCUCACCUUUUGUCGGCAUCUUUUAAUAAUUAUUCGAUAACAAAUAGAUGACUAACUUCCCUUUCGACUGAUUGAUAAAUGUAAAUUGUAAGUUGGAAGCUCCAUUCACUUUGAUCAACCACAUUAUGUUGAAGGAUACAUCAUACACGUGAGAGUGGAAGGAACUAUUCUCUAUCCAAAUGUUAACUCGUAAUUGAUCAACUUGUAUAUUCUGACAAAGACUGACAUAACAAAUCUAAUAAAUCAAACAUUAGGGGUCAUAAUAUUGGACACUACGCGUUCUCUAAUUUGAAUACUUGUUUAUUUUGUGUACACGCGAAACUUUGGUUUAUUUUGUUUUGUCAUCCUUCUCUGUAUUCAAUUACUAGGUGGAGCCCAGCUUAUGUCUGUAAAUAUAAGAAGGAUAAUACUUGAAUUUCCUCAAAUAUCUCGACUCAUACAAUAACGUAAUUUCUUCGAAUAAAUUUUAUAUGUUCGAGUUUUUUUUUUUUAUCUUCACUUGAAGAUUAUUAUUACAAAAAAAAUUAUUCGAAUCAGGUAUUGUUUGGUCAUCUAAAUGUGCUAAUGGACUUUUCAUCAAAAAUCUAUUACUUGGUACUCAUACCGUUGAUUUGUUUUAUACAUUUGAUGGUAUAAACGGUAAUGGUUUUGAAAGAUAUUUUGUAGGGAUAAAUUUCAUAUAAAGAUUAAGAAAUUGACUGGUUCUAAUUAUAAAACUUCUACGGUAAAGUCAUGUUAUUAGCAAGGGGUGAGAUAUGUGCACUCUCCCAUACGGGUGCAAGUAUUAUCCUAAAAAAAAGGGCUGAAAAUGGAUGUUAUGAGAGAAAAAUUAAAAUGUGGGGGAGAAAAGGUUUAUGAGUAAAAUAAAGAUAAUUACUAUCUUGCCCUUAAAUUUAUAUUUGUUAUUUAAGUUAAUAAGUAUUGAAAAUGAAUCUCACGUUAUUGAGGAAAUGGACCUUGCAUGUGCUUAUAAGAGCUUGGAUUAUUCCCUAUAUUGUGAAUUGAUUUUAUUAUGAAACCUCAACUUUCUUCAAUAAGUAUGAAACUGAUAUAUAGUACUUUCUGCAAAUAUGAUUUUAGCCCUUGAAACUCAAGUUUCUUUACAUAAAACCCGACAUAGUCUUUUUACUUGAAUAAAACCCAAUGACUAGGCUCCACAUAAGCAAAUUCAUUAAUUAUGUUUGACUUUACACAUUUUGCAUCUUUCAGAUGCCUAAAAUACCCUUAAUUACAAUUUUAAUGUAUACAUUUAAUUCUAUGCAGAUUUGAAGGGAGGGAUUAAUGAAAAAAAAUGUAUUAAUGUUUAAAUUCAUUGUAUAUUAAUAUAUCAUAACAAAUUGUAUGUUAAUGCUUCUGGCAAAAAAUAAAUAAACAUUAAUGUUAUACUUUCCUUUAAAUAAAUAAAUAAAUAACAAUUUUAACUUAAUCUUGUCAUUUUCUUACCAAAUGGAAACUGAAAGAGAACUAUGGAGUAAUUUACAUAAAAACAUAGGUAAAUUAUUUGGACAUAUGUGUUAGUAAUAAAAUAUUCCCAGUAUAUGUAAUAAUACAUGCAAAAUAAUUUAUCUACAAAAUAAAAAAAAUGUUAUUUGAUUCAAUAUUAAUUUAUCUACAUUUGAUAUAAUAAAGUAUAAUUGCACAUAUAUAUUACUCAAAUGUGCCCAAUAUAUGUAAUAAUGCAUGUAAAAUUAUUUACCUACAAAAUAAAGGUAUGUAAGUUGAUUAAAAAAAUAUAUAUAUCUACUACCUUUUUUUUAUGAAUUUUAAUUUACCUUUUUUUUUUGUACAAAUGUAAUGUACCUACAAUAUAUAAUUCCUACUAAAACUAAUAUAUAUUUGCACACACACACACACAUAUAUAUAUAUAUAUAUAUAUAUAUAUAUAUAUAUAUAUAUAUAUAUUAGUACUAAAAUGUGCCCGGUAUAUGUAACAAUGCUUUAAAAAAAUUAUCUACAAAAUAAAGGAAUGUAAUUUGAUUGAAAAUAUAAUAUAUGUACUACUUUUUGUUUAUAAAUUUCAAUUUUUCUUUAAAAAAAAACAUAUUGUACCUACAAUAUAAUUUACCUAUUAUUUAAUUCUUAUAAAAAAUUAAUUUACUUAUACUUUACAUAUAAAUAUAGAUAAAUAUUUUUGACACGCAUAUAUAAUAACAAAUCAAAAUGGCUAAUGUAUGUAAUAAUCUGUGUAAAAUAAUUUACCUACAAAAUAAAAGAAUGUUAAUUGAUUCUUGUUUUUUUUUUAUCAAACAAUAUUAUUUGAUGCAAAAUAACUGAUUAUACAAAGGAUCCUUUUUUUUAGACAAAAAAUAUGCCUAUAAUUGUUUAUGAAUAUGGGUAAAUUAAUAUAUAUAUAUAUAUAUAUAUAUAUAUAUAUGUUAAUAAUAUUUAUGAAACAAAAAGGUAAAAUUUUCAUAUGGGGUUAAUUGCUAAUCAUAAUUAGGGUGAGUAAUAAUAUUUAUUAACAUAAUUAGGGUUUUGUGGCAUAAUUUGUAAAUAUGUUGUAAUAAUUGGUUAUAUAUUUAUCUACAUGGUAGUCUAUUUGAAAUUUGGGUUUUAUUUGAAUGUUUAAUAUUAAUUGGGUUUUUGUUUGAAAAAUAGGAAUUUCAAGGACCUUUCUCUAAAGAACCCUAGUACUUUUCACACAAUGAGGGUUUUGAUAAAACUAGUAUAGAUAAAACAUACAUAUUAAAGGAAGGAGUGCAAAUAAAGAAAAUAAAAGUGAAAAUCACGAUAUUCUUUUUUAUUUGUAAAUAAAAGGUCUUAAAUUUAGAUCUCAUGGAUGAUGAGUUUGAAACUAAUCUAUUUCCCAGUUCUUCAUAAAAACAAAUUGGAUUUUGAGUCAAGAUGACAACCUUUCAAGGCAAUUUUUACUUCACCAGAGUGGAUGUUAUCAAUAAAACUAUUUGGACAUGCCCCUUUUUUAUCCAAAAUAAAGAAUUUUUUUUAAUACAUCGAUAUUUUUACAUUAGGGAGAUUGAUGAAUUCGGCUAAGUCAUACAAUUGGAAACUUAAUUUGGUUUCGAAUUCUUCAUUCACAAGAUUCGAACUCAAGACUUCUUACUUCUAAAUAAAGAUAAAUAUUAUCAGACCGUAAUACUGAAUGACAAAAUAAAGAUAUUAAAUAUUUGGAUAGUUUGAAAAGGAGCACGCCAAUGGGGUCAUUUUUCAAGCAUGACUAGAAGGAUCGUGACCGAUCUUUUGUUAUUAGGGAAUAGGGAGAAAGGUAGCUUCAUGUCGGGAGUCGUGGUGGCUCUUUGAUGUUUGAGGAUGCAAAUGUAAUUUUACUACAAUGAGGGGUUUUUUUCUUCAAUAUAAUCUUUAUCGGUUGGGAAAAAAAUUAUUCAGACAUAUAAAAUUAGAGAACUUUAACGAAAUACUUUCAGUAUUGUUCAUUUUAACCAAAAAUAACAUUUUAACUCUAAAAAGUCAAUCUUGAUACUAUUCACUUACAACAUCUUUUUGUCAUUUUCAUUAAAAAUCUAAGUUUUCAAGCUUUUUUUUAUUAUUUUUCCUAUAAAAUUAAUGUAAUUGUUGAUAUACAUUUUAAUACAUAGAGAUCUUAUCAUUAUAAGUAAGUUUUAUCUGUAUUAUCAUAACCUGUAUCGACAAAUAUAUUAAUUUUGUAUGUCUAAAAAUAGCACUUGAAUAAUCCGAUGAGGAUUUUCUAACACAUGACACCCAGAGGCUGAUGCUUUUGUUAUAAUAUAUCUUCCUUUGGUCAACAUAUAUGCAUUUAAUAUAAUUUUAUGAAAAGUGUCUCUCACCAAAUUUUAUUCUUUAUUUUUUGUAGUUUAAAAAUUGUCAUUUAAACAGACACGGCAACAAAUAUUAAAUGACUCUAGGAUAUGUGUGUGUGUGUCUAUAUUUUCUUAUACAUAGGCAAUAGCGAUUUCAGGAUUUAAAUAUCGGGUAAUCCCAUUAAAAAGAUAAUAAAUGAAAAUAUAUUGAAAAAUUCAACAAUAAACUACCAAUUUUUCAUUCAUAAUUUUUGUACAAACAACAUUACAAGCUACAAACACUAAAUUUAUCAACGACAAGGUUAAUUACUCUGAAAUCAUGUCAUGAUAGUUUCAUUAUUAAUACAAUGAAAAUCUUCUUACUCAAUGAGAACAACUGAACUAUCUUUAACCAUUGGGUCCUCCAUUUUCUUGCGGAAUGAACACUUGAUGAUAUUCAUGGUGAAAAAUGUUAUCACCACUGAAGUAGUUAAAUCGGUAAAACCAAAAUCAAUUCAGUAAGUAAAUAUAAAUACUGUCUGUUAUUUUUUUAGCAAGAUCACUAAUCCCUUUGCAAUUGGGAAAAUUCAAUUCUCAAACGCAUAAAAUGAAUAUAAAUAUCAAGUUGAUCUUUAAGUGAAGAUAAGUCUUGGUCCGUAAAAUCUUGAGAAUACAAUUAAGCAAGACAAAAUAGCUUUUCUUUGUCAAAAGCUACAAAAAUAAUCAUUUUGAACUCAAACUAGUAAAAAAAAAUGAGCAAUUUGGUACUUAUAACAUCUACAGACCUUUGAAAAAGGCAUGAAAAUAUAUAUUAUUAACCAUGCAUUUCAACUAUUCAAGUUUAAUUCAACGAUUAAGAAAGAAGCAUAUAGUUUAAUAUAUUUUUGUUAUGCUAAUGAAAAAAUUUAAAUGAUUAUUGCAUAAAAAAGGAGGGAUCUUUUAGUUUAAUUGACACACCUCGACUCGAAAUGUCCACUAGUAUUCUGAAUCGAGCUAUGUUGGCCAACACCUGGAAGGUGACGAAACCAUAAAGUGUAGUGAUGUGGAAAAAUAUGAGAAUUUAAACCUAAAAGUGCCUAAGUAUAAGAGUGUGUUGUGAGUGGGAAUGAACUCAUUUCACACGUGAUGUCAAAGCAUAAGUACAGUAAAAUAGGAUAGGGUGAGAAUUAUACCAUCAAAGGUAAUUGUCUACACCAAGAUUUGCCAAGAAUCCUCGUCGAUAAGAAAGCUCAGCUACUAAAACUUGGAAGGGCGAAAAAUAAGAGUGAGUGGGCCUGAAAGUAAAGUUUUAUAAAAAUCUUUCUGAAAACAUUGUAACCCCUCGCCGUAAAACAAGUAUAGUUUCCAAAAUAUACUUACUACGUAUAGUAUAAAAAUACUUCCCGUAGCCUUCAAAAUCUCAAGAAUUCAUUACGGCACAAUAUCUCGUAACUAAGGGCAGAAUAUCCAAAAUCACAAAAUCUCAACAGUAAUAUAAGUAAAAUUAGGUGCUCAAACAAUCUAUGCUAGCACAUAAGUCGGAGUCGCCUAAUGCGACCUAUAUGACUGAACUGAUGCUUAUCAAUCUAUGCUAGCACACGAGUCGGAGUUGCGUAAUGCAACCUAUACGACAGGACUGGGUGUAAUCAUAAUAUCUACUUUAGUGCUACAAUCACGUGAAGACUGACGUUAUUCAUGGUCACCUACGAGUUAGAGUUGCCAAAUGCAAUAUGUACGACAGGACAUGCACCUACGUGGAUCCAGGACGAGCGUGCAGUGCGGAGGUGAACAUACACGUGAAAGACUGGCCCUGACCCUAGGCGAGCACUAACACCGGGGUGCAACAAUGAUGAGCAGACUACACAUAUAUAAGCAUGCCAUAACAAUUCAAUAAUUUUAGUCAACAUAAUAAACUUACCUGCGCAUCCUGUAGGAUUUAGCAUAUUUCAUAAAUUCCGUCAUUUCGCUAAUUCUAAUCAACUUUAGUCUAAUCCAGACGUAUGUAAGAAAUUCUUUUUCAAUGCAUAAAUGGAAACUAUCAAUUAUAUAUAUAUAUAUACACACACACACACACUAUAAAAAGGAAAAGACUCACUCACCUCAAGUCUGCGCUACAACUCCUUAGCAUAAAUAUCGAGGCAUCACGAACAAUCGUCGCCUAGAAUAAUUAUCAAAUAAUGUCUCAGAAUUCUUAUCGAUAGAACAUGUAACUUACAUAAAAACACAUCCCUAAGGACGUUCUAGAAUGAUUUGUAACCCAUUGACCAAAAAUCAACCGUUGGUCAAAGGUCGACGGUAGGGUCCACAACCCUACAUAACUCAAUUCGAAAGAUCCGUAUGUCGGAUUUCCAAACCAAAACUUCCUAAGGGUUUCAAUAAGCUUCUAGAACAACAUCAUAAAGUUUCGGAACAAUUCAACGGUCGGAUCUUCGCCAAUAGCUAAAAUUAAGUGGCGGUCAACGUUUUAUUUUAUGAACUUACAAAUCCAAUUCAAGAAGAUCCGUACGUAGGAUUCCCGAUCCGUAAGUUCCUAAUGUCCUCCCAUUGGAUCAUCAAUUGCUAUAAUAUUCAAGUCGCAGACCUUAAUGAAGUUAUACCCAAACAAUGGAAUUCCGUCAAUCAGAUGUCAAAUAUGGAAUCAGGGCAUCCAAAUUAGCCUAGGAUAGGCAGGUCGGGUCUUAACCCACGCACCGCCGCCCCGACUCACUAGAAAAAUUAACUAUUUUAAAAAAUUACCAAAUUUUAUAGAAAUGAAGAUCACAAUGAGUAGAUCAAGUUUUAUACCUGUGGCCAAGUCCAAUUUGAUCGGCAAAAGCUCCAAUUUCCCUCGAACUCACUGGAAACCCUAGAAAUGGGUGGCUUUGAUCUGUCACCUUCGAUGCUCCACCACCCUUAUAGUUGUUUGGGCUUUGUUCUAGGCCUCAAGGGGUGUCUAAUGGUGGUGGUGAUUGACAUGAUACCAUUCAGAAAUGGUGGGAUUUGUCGUCGUGGAUUUCGGGAAGAACAUGUUCGUUCCUCGAGUUUCCUUUGAGAAAUAACAUAAAAACUCGUCGAUACUUAGGUGGAAAUUGCAGGAGGGAUGAUGAGAAGACGUUUACAGGUGGUGGCGAACUUCAUCUUGUCGGAAAAUCGCCUGAAUUCGAGGUUGUUACUGUUGGGUCAACAAUCGGGUCACGCGGGUUAUUCUCCGACCUGACCCGCUGGCUCCCUCAUUUUCUUUCUCUCAUUUUUCUCCUUUCUCUCCUCCCUGAUUGGUCCAUCCCCCUUAUGUUCUCUUAUUCGUCCCACUUCCCUAAUCGACAAGGCUCUCUUCUCCUCCUUUUGGUCAUUCUCCGCCACCUCAUCUUUUCUUCUUUCUCUUCUAAUAUAUAUAAAAAAUAAUAUAAUAAUUUUGAAAAAUAUAUAAAAUAAUAAAUAGUAAUCUUUACAAAAGUACUUUUCGGAUUUGUAGUUCUGUAAAAACUUCGUCGUAACCCUAGCUUCGAUUUUGUUUACGCCUACACAUUCGUACUGUCAAGUACUUUGAGUAUACGGUAAAGUGAUAGCCCAUACACAUCACGAAUAACGGUCAACGAAAGUCAACGAUCUCGCCUCUAGUGACAUUUUCAUAAAUUCACUCUUUUGAAAUUUAUAAAAUUGUAAAAUUAGGGACGAGUCGUCACAUUAAUACCAAUUCUGAAAAAGUUUUAGCUAAAAUAUCAUAACUUUAGUUUAGGUACCAAUAAUAAAGUAAACCAAAAUAAAUUUAUAAAUAUUAUUCUAAUUCAACAUAAUUACAUGAUUUUCACUCAAUCCUACCAUAUUUUAUGACUGCCAAUUUUUUCUAGCGUUCGAGCAAUCAAAUUUUUUGGUAAUUGACUGAUCAAAUUUUGCGAUCUCAAGGUUAGUGUCAAAGAAUGACUUUUUAAAAAAAAAAGUAAUUCUCUAAUUUUAUUGUAUAUACACGUUAAAAUACAAUAAACUCAUGCAACACAUAUAAUUAAAAAUGAAAAAGUUGAAUCUAUUGCUAUUUUAUCAUUGUUGAAAAAUGACAUAAUGGGGGCAAAAAUGUAAAUACAUUUAUGCUUAUGAUGUCUUCGCCUACAAAUUCCGGCCUAAUUAAAGAACUAGUCUCUUUCCACACAUCUCCGUGUGGCAAUUUGCUCUUUUACAUCUUAUUCUUUACUUGUAAUUUUUUUUUGUUUAAAAUAUUUUUUAUUUUCAAAAAUUACAAAAAUAAAGAAAAAUACUGCCCAGAACAUGGGUAGUUUUAUUAUGUUAGUUUGGAUAUUUUUAAAAUUAAAUUGAUUUUAAAAUUUUAAUUAAGGAGGGUUAAUUUUGAAAUUAUGAAUGUUUCACUGUUUUUUUUUGUCUUCGCCUUAUAAAUGUAGAUGAGUUGGGCUUGGUAAUUUUGCUUAAAAUUGGUAUUUAACUGAAUUUUCUCGUUGAAUUAAGCAAUAUUCUUUAUCUUAUUUUGUUUCUACUAGCCUCUUGGAACACGGAAAUUGGCCUCUUUAUAUUAAAUUGUCUUUUAGAUUUUUUAUUUGAAUAAUUGAUUUAUAUUUUUUCUAUUAAAAUUUAUUCAAAAAAGAAAAUGAAGGAAAGCCAUGAAACUACUAUUUUGUCCCUCAUUAGUUGGAUGAUAAUGUUUUGAAUUUUUAAUUAGUGGACUUUAUAUAUAAAAAAUAAAAAAUUAACAUCAGAUUUUUCUAUGUGGAACAGUCUAGUAAAAAGUGAAAUGUUCCAUAAAUAAAACCUAGUAAUAAAAUUAGAAUACAAUUCAUAAUUUAACCUCAUGAUUUCUUCCUAUUCAAAAAUUGCAAACAUAACCCUUCGAUUGUGUGGUAAUUUUAUCUACACAAAUCUAUAUCAAGUUAAUUGCUAUUUAGUUUAUGGGGCAUUUUUGUGUGCUUCUUUUUUGCUUAAGUGGAUGAAAAGUAGAUGUCACAUAUGCUAUUUAAUUCGAAAAAUGAUUUUAUUUAUUUCCCGUAGAAUAUGUGUAAAUCAACGUGUGUUAUGUAGUCUUCGUGCAAACUAACUAAAUACACCAUGAGAAAAAGAACUCUUUCAUUUUGGUUCAUACGUAUUCUAAUAUUGGCUCGUUUGAAAGUACUUUUAAAAUAAUUAAAAACACUUUUAGAGAAAAUACUUUGGAGUUCUAAAGAAUAUUUUCACUAAAAACAUUUAGGGUUCCAAAAGCACUUGAAGUGCUUAUCCAAGAUUCAUUUGUAUUUUUACUAAGGCUUGGAUCCAAAAACAUUUUCACCAAAAGCUUUUCAGUCAUUUUAAAAGCACUUCCAAACGAGUCUAUAUAUCUAAGCUACCUAUUUACAAAAUCUUUUUUGUCAGCCAAAAGAGGGUGUAAAAAUAAUUUAGUCUUAUAUCAUAAAAAUAAAAUCAUGAACAACAACGUAAUUUUGCAAAAACAAUUUUUUUUAAAAUUCUUUUACUUUCCUCACUAACAUGUCAUCAUAACAUAUCUCUAAUUUUAAAAAUAUAAAUAUAAACUUCUCCCAACUGUCACUCCCUCUCUUUUUUGUAUUUCCCUUUAACUUCUCUAUGUCCCAUAUACUUUAAAAGAAAACUGAAAAAGAAAAGUUUCUGCUUCACACACAAAGUGUGUAGGCUUAGGCUAGUUUCACAUUAAUUAAUUUUAGUACAACAAUAUAUUUAUAGGGGUAAGAGGAUUGGAACUAAAUCACACAAUAGGAUUGCCAUAUUAAUUUAGUAUCUCAUAAUUCAUGAGAUUUGAACCUAAUAUAUUUUACUUAUAAGUGGAAAAAAUAACACGAAACAAUAAUACGGCGCCAUAUCAAGUUAAACUACUCAAAUAUGACAUGGAUAGUGCUACUCACACACCCAUUUUACCACACACACUUCUUUGUUAAUUUUUGGUUAUUGAUAUUCUUUAAUUCAUUCGAUUUUACGACUAAAAGUUGAGAGAAGUGUGUGAGAAAUAAAAACAGGUGUGAGGAUAAUACUACCCAUAUGACCAAUUAACUUUUUUUAUUCUUUCCAAAGAAUAAGUCUUAUUAAAUUAUAAUUAAAAUGUUUAAAUCUUCAGUUAAAAUAUUAAAAAAAUAUUCUGGACCAAUACGAUCCCAGCUAAAAGAACCUGUAGUUUUAUGGAUAAAUGUUUUACAAGUGCCUAUGCCCUAUCAACAUGGUUAAACAUCUAUGCAGCUUACAGCUCUCAUUUUUUUGGAUUUAUUUCCUCAUGUAGCUUUGGUUUUGGAUAUUAUUCUUCCUUUUUUUGACAGUUUUGGAUAUUAGCUUGGUUUUAUAAAACUCAAUUAUUGAAAAAAAGGGUUUUGUAAUUUCUGACGUGACGUGGAAAAUACCGCUGACCCACUGAGAAAAUGGAAGUUAGUAUUUAAAUGAAAAACAAUGAAGUACGUGGCAUCACCUAAUAGCUGCCGCUCCUCUCUCUCUCUCUGCUCUUUUGGAUCGUUCUUCCUCUCUCUCUCUCUCUCUCUCUCUCUCUCCUGUGUUUCUCUGAAAUGUUAAUUUAUAAAUUCUCCUUUCUUCUCUGAUCUCUCUCUCUCUCUGUCUUCCUUUUUUCUCUCUCUGCGUCUUCAACAUUUCUCUCGUUCACUCACAUUUGCCUGAAGUUUAGGGUUUUGUUACAGACGAAAUUCUCCCUAUUCACCCCUCGCUCUCUCUCUAACAUACACCCAGUGAGAUUAGGAAACCAAAACAUUGAAGCUUCAGAGGUACGUCUUCUUCUUCUUCUUCUUCUUCUUCAAACCAAUCAAAAUUCCAACAUUCCCGCGAUUUCUCACAGGGCGAUCUAUUUUGCCUCCGAUUUUCUGAAUUGGGUAUUUGUAAUUUUGUUUUUAGGGGUGUGCGUUUGCGACCUAUGAAUGAGUUUUGAUUUUGAUUUAGGUCGGUGCUUACUGUUUCUUCGAUUGUGUAUUUUCUAUAUACGGAGUCAAUUUGGGGGUUUGAUUCUGGAUUGCUAUAGAAUUAGAAUGUGAAUGUUGGUUAAGUUGCAAACUUUUUAUUUAUUUAUUUAUUUAAUAUGUUAGUUUUGACUUUUGGGGUUGGAAAUGGAGUGUUAAGGUGUAGGUGAGUGGUGGGAAUGGAAUAGAGGGGGUAGAGGUUGGUGCUUGGGUGCCCUAGUGUCGCAUUUGAUAGGCUAGUGAUGACGGAUUUUGAGCCGUUACAACAGAAGCCGGAAUCUGCUGAUGCCUGUGCCGAUUUUGAGCGUGGAUUUGAGGAAUUCAUGCGGGGGCACUUGGAUGAAUGUAUGUCAUUUGCAUCAUGUAGUUCUCCUCGUAAUCCUGAUGAUGAAGAUGACGAGGGUGAGCAGCUUGUGCGGAGGAGACGGAGGUUGGAUCUGGAGGGUGAUGAUUUAGCAGAGUCAUCUGCUGCACGGCGACACCACUCGCGGAUUCUGAGCCGUUGGGCUGCGCAGCAGGCGCAGGAAAUGAUAACAACGAUUGAGAGGAGGAAUCGUGAAUCAGAGUUGAUGGCACUUGCAGGCCUGCACACGGUUUCGAUGCUUGACUCCUCGUUCUUGAGGGAGUCACAGUCUCCUACCUCAAGGCGGCAGGGGGCUGUUGAGAGGCCAAGUACUCAGGCAUCAGCAAUAUUGCAAAUGUGGAGGGAAUUAGAGGAUGAGCAUGUGUUGAAUAGAGCGCGUGAAAGAGUGAGGGAAAGGUUGAGGCAUAGGAGGAGUGUUGAGUCUAAUACUAAUGACUCGACCACAAAUAUGUCUGAUAGUCGGGGGAGUGAGAAUCAGGGUAGUUUGGCGGAUGCAAGUGAGAGUGAGAAUGAGUUUGGAACUUGGUCACAUGAUCAAAUAGGUUCACAACGUGAACACGGUGCCAAUGACGUGUCUAGUAGAGAGCAAUCUCCUGAUCUUGGUGAAGUGGAGAGGGAGAGAGUGAGUCAGAUUGUACGGGGAUGGAUGGAAACUGGCAUUGGUGAUCGUUCAUCCAAUGUUGCUCAGAGAAACACUAGUCCCAGAGCAGAGUGGCUUGGUGAGACAGAGCGUGAAAGGGUGAGAAUUGUUCGUGAGUGGGUGCAAAUGGCAAGUCAGCAAAGAGGAGCUCGUGGGGGCCAGAGGGAUGAUCAAGUUGCCAGUGGUGGUGCUCAAGUUGAUCGAGCUCGUGACGGGACGGUUGCUGACCAUGAAGAAGGCCAACCAGACCACAUUCGCAGGGACAUGCGGAGAUUUCGUGGAAGACAAGCUCUAAUUGAUUUGCUUGUAAGAAUUGAGAGGGAACGACAAAGGGAGCUCGAUUGUUUGGUGGAGCAUCGGGCUGUCUCUGAUUUUGCUCAUCGAAACCGCAUUCAGGUCAGUUGUCUCAUGAAGAUUGUUUAAUAAUGUCAUUUUAAACAUAAUUCAAUUUGCUCCAGUGGUGUGGUUGAUAUUUAAAAAUUGUCUUUAUCAAUGAAUGUGAUUUCUAUGAUUGUAGUUUACAGGAUUUUCUAGAAUACUUAAAGUUUGUGCUCAGUAAUUUGUCUGGCUUCUUUAGAAGAUCAAAAUAACUGGGUACAAUUGUUGUCAUUUGAGUUGCAGAUUAAGUCCGCAUAUUAUGUUUAUGAUCCCAUUUUCUAUGAUGAAUUAUUUUUUAUGUUUAUGAUCCCAUUUUCUAUGAUGAAUUAUUUUUUCUGGUCCUAUUUGUAUCCUUGUAUUAGUGGAUAAGGAUGAGCCAGAGGCCCAGAACUUAUGUUUCAAAAUGGAAUGAGUUUUCUUCUUUCUCUGAUAUACCUUGCUUCUGUCUCAGUGGGAGAUAUGGGCUUAUUCUUAAGUGUAUCAUUUUGGGUGCUAUAUCCGGUUGCAAAGAUACCAUUGUAUUCACUUGGCUUGCUCCCAAAUUAGAAUGUACACCCUGCAGCAUACAUUUCCAAAUUAGAAUGUACACCCUGCAGCAUACAUUCGCUUAUCCGAAAUUGUAUUGCUAUAAGGUGCAUGAUGAUGUUAUGUUAAUAUGAGAAGAAUAGCUAUUAGUUAUCCCCUAUCUUUUCCCCCUUUUCGUAUUCAUGCAUAUUUGUAAGGUGUUGUUUCCUAUUUAUGCCAGUUCUCAUCACCAUCGUCUAUAACAUAGACAUACUACAAGUUGCAUUGAUGAUAUCCCAACAUAAUGGAAUUGUGUAUUUCUUUCUGGCUCUGCUACCCAAAAAUUUCCCUUUAUGACACUGUAGAGAUUAAGUUUCCUGCAUAAAUGGGCAUGAUUUGGCUACUAAUAUAAUUAAACAUUUCCAGUCAUUACUCAGAGGUAGAUUCCUGCGCAAUGAAAGACCUGUUGAAGAAGAAAGACCACCUUCCAUGGCUGCUGGUGAAUUAGUCCAGUUGAGACAGCGACACACUGUUUCUGGUUUAAGGUAUGUGAUGUUUUUAGUCAUGCCGUACGUCUUAAGAUGCCAAAUUUUUUCAUCACUUCCUUUUUUUGUUCUUGUACUUAACAUUGGUAUUUAUUUACGUUUAUUAUUUUGUGUAGACUCUUAGUAGUUCUGAUUUUGAAAAGCUAUCUAUUUAAUGAGAAAAAUCUAAGGGAACAUAGCAUACUUUAUGUUUUUCAUCACUUCCUUUUUUUGUUCUUGUACUUAAUGUUGGUAUUUUUUUUACGUUUAUUAUUUUGUUUAGACUCUUAGUAGUUCUGAUUUUGAAAAGCUAUCUAUUUAAUGAGAAAAAUCUAAGGGAACAUAGCAUACUUUAUGUUGUCUUGAAGGAACACAUUUAUCAUCUCUUUGUCAUUUCUCUCUAGUUUUGUUGUUGAAUCAAUUUACUACAUUAUAUGAAUAAUUUGGUUGAGGUUAGAGAAUUCCUUUGUGAACACAUUUAUUUAUUAGUAUUUGUAGGAGAUUGUCCUUUAAGUCUACUGUGCUGCGUAGAAGCAUUACUAGUGAUGGGUUUGUGGGGGUGGGGGAGAAGCACAAGAUUUCUAGAUGGAUGGCCAUUACUUUAAGCAUCCGUUUUUUCUCUGGGUUUCAAAUAGAACAGAUAAAGUCUUAUAGACGAAUAAAUAUGCAUCAGUAUUACAUAUUAAUGAGUGGCUAUGCUAUAAGGCUUGCAAUUGCUUUAUAAUAUUUCUUCCUGGGAUAAUAAUAAAAAUACAGAAUAAAUAUGAGAUACUCGUUUGAUUUGCCUUACUCUUGAUUUUACUUUGGUUUACUUUAUCGUUUGGGUUUUAAUGCUCCAGUUAUAUCUUUUGAGUAUUUUUUAUUCCAUUAAGUGAAUGUUGAUAAUUUUUUGUUGAAAGACAAACAAGAGUUGUGGAUGUUAGUUGUUUGCAUAAUGACAAGUUUGUUUCCUUGUUAGGGAAGGGUUCCGCUACAGAUUAGAAAAUAUUGUUCGUGGUCAGGUUGGCAGCCAAACCGAUUCUACGAUUAACAGUAAUAUUAAUGAAUCUAGAAGUGAGCAUACUCAAACAAAUGCUUCACAGGAUGUCCAACAGGAAAGUAAUGAUCAAUUGCAGCCUGGUAGUCAGGCAACUGACAUCAAUCAGUUGCCUGAUCAAAUGGGAAGCUUGGAGAGCAACACUACUGAUGAGCGUCAAGAUUGGCAAGAAACUGCUAAUCAAGGAGGGAAUUGGCAGGAACCAGUUGUUGAAGAUGAGACACGAAACUUGGAGCAGCCAACUUUCGGUCAGUUGAAUGAAUGGAGAAAUGGUAAUGCCGAAGAUACGGCUGAAAAUUGGCCAGGAAAUUCAGUCAAUAAUUGGCCUGAGGAAACACCCAGAAAUGUUGAUGGAGAAGCAGAUCAUCGACAAGAAGCCCAGGGAAUUUGGCAUGAGAAUGGUACUCGGGAUGCUGUUGGAAAUUGGACCGAAGGGCCUUCUGGUCCCAUGAGAAAUCGCCGUUCAGUUCCAAUUAGAAGAUUCAAUAGAUUUCAUCCGCCAGAGGAUGAUAAUGUGUACAGCAUGGAACUCAGGGAACUUCUGAGCAGGUAUUUGAUUCUUGUAGAUUGAUUAUAUGUACAACAUAAACUUAUUAUUUGGUUCUUUUUAUGAUGGUUAUGAUUUUCUAUAUUGUAGGAGAAGUGUCUCUAAUCUUCUUCGGAGUGGGUUCCGUGAAAGUCUGGACCAACUGAUUCAGUCAUAUGUUGAAAGGCAAAGUCAUGCUCCCAUUGAUUGGGAUUUGCAUAGAAACUUGCCAACACCAAUUCCAGCUUCACCAGAGCAUGAUCAGGAGCAACAGCGGGAUGGGCAGAAUGAAGAUCAACACGAUGCCAUUAACAGACCUUCACUUGUUCUACCAUCUCCACCAGUGCCCCCACCACAGCCAUUAUGGCACCAGGACCUACAUCACACAGGCUGGUCUCGUCAUAGCAUGCAUCGUUCAGAAAUUGUGAGCAAUCUUCUCUCUUAAUGCAGCUUUUUUCAGGCUUUCCGAUCUUUCUCUCAAAAUUUUAGAUGUGGCUUACUAUACAUAAUCGCGAUAUUCUAUGAUUGUGGCUUUUAAGGUUUUAUACCAGGUUAAUAAAUAUAAUAUAUUAUUUCCCUGUAUUGAAUUUUUAAUAUAUCAAUAAAUAUAUUAGUAUCAAAUAUCUAUUAUACGGAUACUAUUAUUAUUAUAUGUAUUAAUAUUUGAUUUAAAGUUGCUAUAUUUUUAUUUUGCAUUCAAAAUGUAUAAGAAUUCAUAGUGUAUAGAGUAAAACUAUAUAUAAUUUGAAAUAGAAUUCUAAUUUCUAUUUAUAAUUCAUUUUAUUGGUCAUUAAGUAAUUGGGACCUCAGUAAGAUAUCACUUCUAGGAUUAAAUGACACAUGUUUUCCUUUUUUCACUCUUUCAUUAUCUCUAUUAAUUAAUGAAACCUUCUUUGUCAACCAAAAGAGGGUGAAAAGAUUACUUAGUCUUCUAUCACACAAAAAAAAUGAUGGGCAAUAAUGUAAUUUCACAGGUCCAAAUUUUACUAUUUUUUAUUGAAGCCUCAUCUAUAGGUGAUGUUAAAAUACCUCCAAUAUUAAAAAAAAAAAAAAAAAAACCUCCCACUCCCCCCAAGUUCUCUCUCUCUCCCUCUCUCCUCAUUUUCUAAAAAAAUAUGUUCAUACACACAAAGUGUGUAGGCAAAUGCUAGUAUUCCAUUAGUAAUUCAAUUUAGUCCAUUUAUAAUUUCUGUUUGUAAUUUAUUUUAUUCCAUUACUUCUUGUAAUACAAUGUGUUGUAGUUGCUAUCUUUAGACAUUCAUAAUACUUAAAUAUAUUUGGAAAUUAUCGAACUUUUUACAGACUUUUAAGGGUCUUUCAUUGCUAAGACAGCAUACCAUAACUAAACUACUUGUAACAGUAUAAAAUAGUACAAUGUAAAGUCAUAUAGUGUAUUGUGCCUGAUUAGUUGAUGAUUGAUGCAAACUGGUGUUGGAGUGGAUUUUCUAUCCCGUGUCUAUUUUUUUCUUUUUCUUUCUUUCUUUUGCUUUCUCUGAAUGUGGAUUCGUACACGAAGCAGGAAUGGGAGAUGAUUAAUGAUCUCAGAGCAGACAUGGGUAGACUCCAGCAAGGCAUGAGUCACAUGCAGAGGAUGUUGGAGGCCUGCAUGGAUAUGCAAUUGGAGUUGCAACGUUCUGUUAGACAGGAAGUCUCCGCAGCUUUGAAUCGUUCAUCUGGUGAAAAAGGUUGGUUUCAGGUUCAAUAUGUUAAAUGACACAGAAACACGUUUGUUUCAAGAAUCUGUGUGUGUGUGUUCAACGAAACUGUAUGCAUGCGGUCUCUGCCUCCAUUAAAGCUGCAUUUUAAUCUUGGGGUAAUUCAUAUGAAAGAUGCUAUCACUUUGCAGGCUUGGGCGCUGAGACAUCAGAGGAUGGGUCCAAAUGGGGUCAUGUGAGAAAAGGGACCUGUUGUGUUUGUUGUGAUAGUCAAAUCGAUUCUCUCUUGUACAGGUAUAUUGCUUGUAACCUCGAUACAUUUGAUUUUGAUGGUGUUGAUGACUAUCAUUUUGUAAUAAACUGUUUUGUGUGCCUUUUGUCCCUUUUUUCUUUCGUGUGCAGAUGCGGGCACAUGUGCACUUGUUCAAAGUGUGCAAAUGAGUUGAUUCGUGGCGGAGGGAAGUGCCCACUUUGUCGAGCACCGAUUGUUGAGGUGAUUCGAGCAUACUCCAUACUGUAAAUUUAACUCUUAACAGGAAAGAAAAGAAAAAAGGACAAAAAUAUAAACUGAAUAGAAUGACCGGAAUGGUGGAAAGGGGGGAGACAGUGGUUGUUCCAUAGGAUGAAGAUGAAUGGGAAGCUUCUGUGGUCCUUUUCUCUGUAGAGUGUUUUACUAGUUUCCGAUGUUUCUCUGAUUAUUUAUGGAAAUUCGAAUGCGUUGUGUAAUUAGAAUAACAUAUGGCACUCUCGAUUCAUCAUUCUUACGUAAAUAAAAUCUUCUCUGAAUUUUUUCUUUUCGCGUGUUUCGCUCCCCCCCCCCACCCCGGGGUUGGUUUUCAGCUCUAGCUAUCAUAUGCAAGCAUAACUGUGAUUAGUAAAAUUGGUACAAAUUUUUACAGUAUGGUAGGGCAGAGAAAGUGGGGCAGGUGAGAGAAUAAAACGGGGACUUGGUAAACGUAAGAUAAUGUGUAAUUACUGUAUUAACUUUAGUUUUUAAAUGAAUUACUUGUAAAUUAUUUACUUUCCAAAGAUUUAUUUCUUAACAAUAGCAUAAAAAAUAAAAAAACAGACCAGAAAAAAAAGGCAGAAUGGGAUCUUGUUAUCUUUGUACUGAAGCUUUAGGUUUGAUGAUUUUCGUGUAAGGAUUAUUCUCCCUCCUUGUAAAAUUCUAAAAAUCUGCUUCUGGAAAUGUAUCCUUGACAUUUUAUCAAUGAGUGGCUUCUUGUCUUUCCCUCUUCUAUAUUGCUAUAAUCUCUGGUACAUGCAGAGUGAUUUUCCGGAGUACCUGAAAAAGAGAUUUUUCGGUAUACCGGAAAAGUGGUGAGCUUUACAAAACCAAACACCUAUAUUUACAUCAUGGAUUAAAAAAGAGAGCUUGCUUCGCUCCUUGCAGCAUAUUACAGUUCAAAAUCUGCAAAAUCAACUCAUUAAAACCAAAAAAGAAAUUAGAGUUUUGGUUCCUGUGCUUCUGAUCUCUGAACUACAUGAGUAUUUCCUUGAGCUUGUCACAACUUGAGACAAUGAUCAUUUUGGGUAACCUGUUUUAGUUCGAAUCAAAAUAAAAGCUUUUAGAGCAAGAUAAGCGACAUAAGUUCUAAUGGAGUUACUCAAAAGCUUUUAGGGCAUGAAACCAUUUCCAUCUUAUUAGUUUCAGUUUUAUUUAAUUACCACAGGAAAAAGUCUUUUUAUGAAUUUGUACAUCCAAUUCAAUCUUCCUGAGCCAUCAAACCCGAUCAAAUUGAAUUGGUCUGGAAUGGCAUCAUAUACCUUUUCUACGUGGCUUUGACUAAUUUAGGAAGCAAAAAGGCAACUUAUGGGUUCCAAUAAAACUCUGACCAAAUAAAAAAAAAAUGUUGUAAGCAAAUGAAGCUUUACCGCAGUGGCGGAAAGCAAUAAUACUUAUACAACUGGUGCGGUUUUGAUCCCCUUUCACCUCUACCAUUUAAUCCAGUAAUGCUAUUGUUUGUAAAAAAAAAAAAAAUGUUGUAAACUUGUCUCAUUCUUGAUGUCCUCAUUCUGAAAUUAUAAAAAAACUCAAUAAACUAACUAACUAAUCCGGAUUAUUAUACUUGUAUGACAUUGCAAACCAUAAAGGUCAAUAUGGUUUGAGAAUGUAGUCACCAAAUGUGAUCAACUUGACAAUUGAAAGCCAGUUCAAUAUUCUAACUUAACGCCCUUCUACUUUCGCAUAUUUGAGGCUCUUUUGGAAUUAGAAUUCGCGCAUUUCUCGUAACUUUGUGUCUAGUGACAGUACCUGCUUGUGUUCAUGUGGAUUUGCUUCUAUUUCCUUGGACCACAGACUAACCAAACAGAAAUCAGAGUGAGACGGAAGCAUGGACUGGUGUAUGACAGAUGAACACACAAAAUUUUGCACCUACUACUUUGAAAUAGUGAUUACGUGUUAUUAAUCCGUAAUCUCUCUCUUAAUUUGGGCUUUAUAUCUGUAAUUGGAAAGUUCAAUAUUACUGAGAUUCUUGAUCUUUCACACAUUAAGGAUCCGUUCCUGUGGCCUGAGAACUUUGAAUAUCGCCAUGCUGCUGCAUGUUACCGACCAGAAUCGGAAAGAGUCACGCAUAAGAGAUAACCAAAACAGAAACAGUCACUAAUCUUCGCAAUGUAUGCGUCUGUGCCUACCUUGUAUUGGCAAUCUGGAUGCUUCUGUAAUUCAUCCUUUUCUACUUUCAGUUUCUGACUGGAUGAAAAAUGUCCGUGUCAACCUUUCACUGUAAUUUUAAAAUGUAUUAAUCAAAUUUGAUAAGCCCGUACGGUUGGUUAGUUUUGUUUUUAAUCGUACUAGAUAAAUGAGAUAGGACAUAGAUAAGCCAAGCACUGGAUCGAUCGAAGAAGUUAUGGUUUUGGGUUAAGACAUACAAGGAAAACCUGUAUUGUUAGACUUAGCCCACCCAGGUUAGUGGGUAAGAAUUUAAAAGUUUAUUAAAAGUAAAUAUGUGGGCAAUAAUUGAAAAAAAAUCUAGGGGUUUUUUUUUUCCACUUAAAAAAAUAAAAUAAAUUAAAAGAUUUAAAGUUUUAUUAGAAAACUAUUAUUAGCACUCUAAAAUUUUAAUUAUACACUCCUCAUAAGAGUAUUUUUUUUAAACAUAGAAUGUUAGAGUGCACAUAAGGGGUGAUGUAGUCAAAUUAUGAUUUGAAGAGAUUUUAAUAGACUAUAAAUCAGGAUGUAAUCAAUUAAGAUUUUAAAAGAGGAUUUUAAAAGAGUUUGAAAUCAUGGUGUAGUCAAAUUAGGAUUUAAGAUGAUUUUAAAGACUACAUCCAAAUUCAUGGUUAAUCAAUUAUGAUUUUAAAAAAGUCCACCCAAAUCGAGCUGCCACCAAAAUCUAGGUGUAAUGAGAAUACCAAAGAUUUGUUAGGAUCUUAAUGAAUGAUGGAUUUUGAUGGAUUUUACUGUGGGUGAUAUAAAUACCAAAUGCCAUAAAAAACCUAACCACCCCCUCUGAUUUCUUUUCACGUUCAUCACAAAAGUGGAACAAUCUUCCUCUCUUAGAUGUCUUCCUCUAUCCUUCAUGGUAUUCAUGCUUUUCUCUUCCCAAUUUGUAUAAUUCUUGUAUGAUUGAUUUGUUGCACAACCACACUGGUACUUAAUAAACAUAUAGCUCCCUUACUUCCUUCUCACACACAUAUAUCUAUACAUAUAAUAUCACAAUUCCCGAGCUUCACCGUGAUAGUAGAAAUGAUGGAUUGCAAAGAAUGUAACAAUGUUGCAGAGAAAACAACAAAUGAAGAAAGAAGAACAAUUCUUAGAGAGAGAAGGAAGAGAAUUAUGGGUUGCAUUUCUGUAUUGCUUUCGUAAUCUGUUCAGAAUUAUUACACUUGUUUAUAUAGCCACACAUGCCUUACACCAAGCUAUCUAUUUUAACAGAACUAACCACCUAACAGCCUUUCUGUUAGCAGUGUUAACAAACUAAUAGCUACGAACAGUUUUCUUAAACUUUAACAGUCACUUAACAACUUACAUCAUUCAUCAUCCCUCCUCAAUCUCAACUGGGUUCCGCAACUUGAGAUUUAAGCAAUGCUUGACAAAAGUAGGAAUGUGAAGACCUUUAGUAAGCACAUCAGCUGUUUGUUCAUCAGUUAGGACAUAUGUAACUUCCAAAUCUCCUUGUUGAACUCUUUCUCGAAUUAAGUGAUAAUAUGUGUUAAGAUGUUUAAUUCUUGAAUGAAACACUGGAUUUGCACUUAAUGCAAUAGCUGACAUAUUGUCACAAAAUAACACAGGUGGCUUAGGUAGAAAAACCUCCAAGUCAUUCAAAAUAUUCCUCACCCAAGCAAUAUCAUAGCACUAGAAUCCUAACUUUGAACUGUAUUGAUAACUGAUUGUGAUUGUUGUACUCUUGGAAUUGGCAUUUGAAGCAUAGUAGGAACUUGCUUAUUCGAAACUGAAUUACACUUAUCAUUUUUCUAUGGCUUCACUACAGACUUAAAUGGAAAGACAUAUUCAUCAUGUAUAACAUGUCUUGACACUAUUAAUCUUCCAGUAUGUUGUUUAUAGCAAAUCACCCCCUUAUAACCAAUGGAAAAUCUAGGGCUGGGAUUGAUUCAAAUCGGUUCGGUUUUUUGUCAAAAUCGAAACCAAACCGAAAUUUUGGUUCGGUUUACUUUUUUUUUAGUUCGGUUUAAUUUCGGUUUGGUUUCAGUUCAGUUUCGGUUUUUUUUUCUUCGAAAAAAUGAAAAAGUUUGAAAUAUAAAAUUUUAACAUCUUCAAUACAAUAUUAACAUAAGCAUUUCAACUAGAAUCAAAGACAAUGAAAAUAAACAUUCAAAGUUCAACUAGAAUCCUCAAUCAAGUCUUCUAAAGUCCAAACUUAAAAUAAACAUCAAAGUUUAAGUCUUCAAAAAAUCCAAAUUUAAAAUAAACAUCAAACUUCAGGUCUUCUACAUCUAAAAUAAACAUAACAAAGUCCAAACUUUAAAGAAAUAUUCCACUUAACUAAAAUCAUAAAUUCAAAUAAACCUUCAAGGUUUCAUGUCUUGCACACACUUCUUCUCUUCAAGUUCUCAAGCUCAAACGCUUGGGCGGCCUAGAAGGCAACAUAACACCUUUCCUUGAACUUCCACAUGCCAGUUCUACAUACAAAAUAAAAUAAGAAAAAACAUUAUUUUGAUACAAAAAUGAUAUUAGGGACCUGGGGGAGGGGGGGAGCAAUAGAAAAGGGUAGAAAAAUCCACACUUUGAUAAAUUUCAACUAAAUUUCAAUUAAAUAGCUACUAAUCCAUCUAGACACAACGAGCAUAUCAGACUUUAUAAGGUGAUAUUAGGGAUGGUUGUAAGGUCCCCGACGUAAAAAAUCCAAUGAGGAGUUGUAAGGGGCCCCUUACACUGAUUGAUUGCUUGCUCACAAAUAGAUUUGGAUGGUCAAAGCUCUUAAAUUUAGCAAACAAACAUGUACCACUUGAGCCCUCAUAUCUCGACAUUAUAAAUAACCAAUCAUUAUAUGUUAAACACAUUCUUAAUAGAUUAUACUUAUAGCGUCAUUCAUGCAUCUUAUAUCAUAACUUGAACCAAAACCUCUUGAAUACAUAAAAUUCAAACUUCCAUUGAAUUGCUUAUUGUGUGACUAUGCCUUGUUACUUUUUUUUCUUUCAAGAUAUCUGUUAAGACUGUUAUAUCCAUUGAUUCAUACUACAUAAACCAUGUAAAAGUGAUUCUUUGAAUAAGCCAAAUAGUUGUGUUAUCUGUGAUCUAUAUGAACAAACGAGAUGUGCUUUUCUUUUGUUAUAAGCACUAAGUAGUUCAAAAUGCAUACAUAGCUGUAAACGUGGUUUACAAUCAAAUUCUUCUAAUUCAUAACAAUAGUAAGCAUUACUAUAUGACCAACGAAAACUACUAAAAAUAUAAGAAAAUCGCAAAACCCAUGAAAUUGAAAAGCUGCAGAACUCAUAAAAUUGAAAAUAAAAUCUGCAAAACCCAUGAAAUUGAAAAGAUAAUCUGCAGAACAUGAGAAAAAUUACCAUGAGACUAACCUUGCAAAGGAAGUCGAGGGUUGAGACUCGAAACGGCGAGAGGAAGUUGCGGGUCAUGGGGGUGAGAGACUAAGAGUUUGAGAGUGAGACAACAACUCUUGCAAAUCAACAAGGUGCGACGAAGGUCGCAGGUUACUAGGAAGGAAGAAGACGAAGACUGAUUGAGAGCGAGUGGUUCACACGGAGUGGUGGAGGCUGGGAACUUAGAAUGAGAUGGUUCAGAGGCAACGGAGGGAUCGAUGUUUAUGGUUACCAAUAUAAAUGCAAGUCAGAAAGACUGAAACGAGAACAAACGACACCAUUUCUAGCCAUGAAAAUUAUUAAUUAAUAAUUAAUUAUAAAAUGAUGUUGUUUUGACAACACUUCGGUUCAGUUCGAUAAAAACUGAACCGAACCAACCAGGUUCGAUUCGGUUUCUUUUGGCCUCGAUUCGAUUUUUGGUCUUGUUUUUUUUUUGUUUUUAAUUUUUCGAACCCACCCCUAGGAAAAUCCCUGAAAUAAACAUUGACUUGAUCUAGUUUGUAAUUUGUUACUAUUGAAUGAUCUCAAGAUAGGAUACCAUGCAGACCCAAAAAUCUUGAACUGCUGAACUUCAGGAUUAUGAUAAAAAACACGCUGAUAUGGAGAUUUCAUCUUUAGCACCUUACAUGGCAUCCUAUUAAUCAACAAAACCUCAUAUGAACAUGCAUGAUACUAGAACCUUGAAGAAAGAUUAGCUGGAGACAUUAAUGUAACUGCAGUUUCUACUACAUGCCUAUGCUUCCUCUCAGCAAUCCCAUUUUGUUGUGGGGUGUGAGGACGAGAAAUCAUAUGAGUAAUACCCUUGCUUGCCAAAAAAUCCACAAAUACUUUGCUCAUGUAUUCCCCUCCACUAUCAUAUUGCAAAACAUUUUAUAAUAGCAAUAAAUUGAUUUAACACAAAAAGCUUGAAACUUAGACAAAAAUUGAGAAGGGUUAUGAUUUAUUUGUCAUGGGAAAUAUCCACAUGAACCUUGAAUAUUCAUCUACAAAGUUUAUGUAGUAUCUAUAACCUUGUACAAAUUGAAUUAGAGUUGGACCCCCCUACAUCACUGUGUAUUUUCUCAAACAGAUAACUAGCUCUAUGUUCUCUACUAGGAAAUGGUUGCCUACUCAUUUUUCCUUGAAUACAAGAAGAACAUACAGUAGGAUUCGUAUCUAUACUAGCAUAUAUGUUUGCAGACUUCAACAUAGCUUGUAAAACUUCCUCUGAAGGGUGUCUAAAUCGUUGAUGCCAAAUUGAAGUAUUGACCUUUUUGCUAAUGAAUGCAGCAUAUCUACUCAACUUUGUAGCAAAUGAAUCUGAAAAUGUAUUUACUGAAAUUCUGAACAAAUCCCCACCAUCACUCCUUCCUUGAUAUAAAAUCACCCUCGAGCCUUUGUCCUGUCUGAAAAACAUCACAUCAUCACAUAUGAACCAACAAUCAUUAUCUUUGCACAGUUUCUUAACAGAUAAUAGAUUGACAGUUAUCAUUGGCACAUGUAAAACAUUUUUCAAUAUUAAAGAUUGAUUUGAGGAAGGAGUAAUGUUAGAGGAACCAAUGAUUUUGACUAUUAAACCUUCACUAUUGGCUAUGAUAAUCUUCUCAUCUCCAUUGUAUGGUGCAACUUGAUUUAUGUUGGUAACAUUGGCAGUCAUGUGGUGUGUUGCACCAGUGUCCAUAAUCCAAGUUUCAGCAACAUUGAAUCCAUUGUCAUUGACAACAUUUAUAUUUACUUGCCUCAUAUUGGUUUGUGCAGAUAAAGUUGUGAGAGAAAAUGCUGGUGCAUUACCUUGGUAGGAGAAAUUGUUCCUAUGAUAACAUUCAAGGGCAAUAUGACACCCUCUUUCCACAGAUUUGACACAUCACAAAACUUGAAAAUUGUCCAUUGUUGUCAGCUCUAUGAUAACAGUUUGGUGUAGUGUGUCCCCUCCUCGAACAAAUUUAGCACUCAUGUGAAAUAACAUUCUUAUAGUUAGUAUUGCCAUUCCAAGAUCCUCAUUUUCGAGAAUUGAGGACUUUUUCCAUUUCCAAAAUAUGAAUUACCUUCAUUGUUCCCAUUACCAGAAAGAGUUAUUCCCAGAUCUAUUUGAGAAAUUUCCAGAAAAAAGACUUUGAGUUAUUGUUUCCAGAGUAAUUACUUCCAUUGUUUCCAAAAAAAUUGCCUCAAAUUCCUUCAUUACUCCUAUUGAAUUUCCUAAGAAAUUACCCCUUUGUUGAAAUAUGUUCCCAUUACUCACAUAACCUGAUCUCCUUGAAAGUUUGAGCCAUUAUUAUACCCUUGUGAAUUUGAACUUUCACCUUGCUCAUAAUUUUGAUUUCCUCCUUGAAAUAUGCUAGAGCUUGCCUCAUAUCCUUGUACAUACAUUGCAGACAUAGAAUUGGAUAGUGACUGCAUUCUAGACUCAAUACUAGCUUAUGCACCCAACAAUUGUGCUCUGAAAUCUUUAAGUGACAUUAUGGAAUCCCUUGCAAGAAUCAUUAUCUUGAUCACUUCAAAAUCAACAGGCAGUCCAUACAAAACAACAAUGAUAUAAUCAUUAUCUUAUGUAUUUUCACCAACAAAAAUUAACUGAUCUUUAAUUCCCUUGAGUCUAAGCAUGAACUUGUCCACAAAAUCUCCUCAUUUAUGUGCAGUGUGAAAUUCUGUUUUCAGCUGAUUCACAUAAACCAUGGAUACUGAUGCAAAUCUUUCCUAUAGGCAGUUCCAGGUUUCUUGUGAACUCUUGCAUCCAAUGACAUGUUCCAUGGCAUCAUCAGAACGAGUAGCAAUGAACAGACUUAACAAUGCAAGAUCAUUCUUUACCCAAUUUUGUACACCGUAGUGAUUUCCUUGGUGAUUACAGUUUCUAUAUUGAUUACAUACUUUGGUGGACAUGGCGAAUCUCCAUUAAAGAAAUCAAACAAAUCAUAACCUCUCAAAACAAAUUGAAAUUGAAAACUCCACUUCAAAAAAUUAUCAUCUUGAAGCUUAACUGUAAGCAUUCCCAGCAACCCCUCAAUCUUCAUAGAUUCAGACAUGAUGAUAUUUCAAGAAUCUUGCAACAAAAGAAUGCAGAUUAUAUCCAAUAAGCAACUAAAAAUCCCAAGAUUUAUCAAAUAAUACACUUUGGCUAUUAGCCUUACAGAAGGAUUGCAGAAAUGAAGGAUUGCAGAGAAUGUAAGAAUAUUGUAGAGAAAACAACAAAUGAAGAAAGAAGAACAAUUCUUAGAGUUAGAAGGAAGAGAAUUAUAGAUUGUAUUUCUGUAUUACUUUCGUAAUAUGUUCAGAAUUAUUACACUUGUUAUAUAGCCACACAUGGCUUACACUCUAAGAUAUUUGUUUUGACAGAACUAACCACCUAACAACCUUUCUGUUAACAGUGUUAACAUACUAACAACUACUAACAGUUUUCUUAACAGACUUUAAUAAUCACUUAACAACAACCUACAUCAUUCAUCAUUCCAAAUUCAUGUUUUUGAAUUUAUUAUUUUUCAAUUGUAUUGGUUCUCUAUUUGAUAGCAGGAAAAACCAUGAAUUUAUGCAAUGAAAAGAGAAAACCUAGAAAGUUAAGCUACCGCAUUGCACUUGUGUGAGGAACCUUGGAUAUUUUGUUCCAAAUAAUUGAAAGGAGCUUGGAUAAAUUUACUGAGUUUUCAUUAUUUAGUAAUAUAUACCCGUGGUUUGCGAGAAUUCAAGAAUUGUUCUUUUUUAUUGGAAAUAUAUUUGGGUUUAGUUGUUAAUCUGUGUUUAGUUCUCCAUUGUCAUUAGCUUACAAAAUUCUGAAUGGUUUUUCAUCACAUUCCAUGUUAUUCUUCAUUGUUUAAACUAUAGAUCUUUUGCAAGAACAAAAUUGAAGAAGAAACUUUAUGAAACCAUUAAGUAUUUAGUGAUGGCAAUUCAAGUCAUAGUCCACGUGCUAAAAGAGUUUAUAAUCACAAGUGGACAACCUAUUGAAUGUCCUUUAAAUCGACGAUUAACUACUAUGGAAGGAUGCAACUAUAUACAUAAAGUAUUGAAAGAUAACCACCCAGAGGAUUCGGCAAAGGCAUAGAAUGUAUUCUGAUGUGUUUAUGAAAUUAUGCACUAUUAUUAAACAAAAAAACUCUUAUGAGAUACAGGACUGCAACCUAAGCUCUGAUACCAAACUGACACACCCUAACCGGAGUCGAGACGUGCUGGCCGUCACGUGAGAGUGACGUAGCCAAGAACGCAAAGAGGAAGCGAUAAAGAGUAAAAGAAAUACUAACAAUUUAAAACCAAGCGACUAACAAUCCCAAAUAAGAAAGGAUGCUAGUGAGAGUCUAAGUGUAUAAUUACACUUUCAGAGCAAUAAGAAGAUCUAGUUGCAGUCAAGUAGGACAAUUACUAAGACACAACACCCGAAGGUGAAUCCUACUUUUUCGGAUUCUGUCAGAACACCGAUGGAUUCCUCGUAGCCACCAAACUCUGCUAUCUAAAACCUGGAGGGGCGAAAAACAAAGUUGAGUGGGCCAGUAAAACACAUUUACAUGAAAACCUUAUUUUUCCUUUGAAUAUACUAACCCCUCGCCGUAAAACAAGUAUAUGGUUACUUUCCCAGAAAAUAGAAUACAUAAAUAUGUAUAUAAUUAUAUCAUUUCAAAUCAUACUCAAAAAUCAAGAUUCAUAUUUGUAUGUAUGCCAUGCCUAUAUAUAUAACAGAAUAAGCAAUUCAAAUAAGAAUAAUUUCAUAGAAAUAUAACAUGUUAGCCGGAACCCCUGAGGUAGUCUAUACGACUGAAUUUCAUAGCUCAAAAGUCACUCUAGCCGGAGUCCCUACAAUGACCUAUACGGCAAUAUACUGCACAAUAGUCAGAACCAAAUGCAAGGGUCUGUACGACGAUAAUGGGUGUAAUAAAAUUAUGCUCAAUACUUCUCUCACAUAAUAGCCAGGCGAUAAAUCGCUAGUCACCUACGAGUCAGAACCAUAAUUAAGGUCUGUACGACAAGACUGUGCACCUAAAUUGGAUCCAAUGUGAGCAUAUGGUGCGGGAGGUGACAUAGUAAACAUGCAUGUACUUCAUAUCGCUGGCUAAAUCACAAUCACCCUAGGUGCAGUUUUAUGAGCUCAACAUUAUUCAAUCACAUAUCACAUCAUUGACAAUUCACAUAACCAAAACAUAACUUACCUGAGCUUACCUAGGCCUCUAUAGCACCAUGCAACAAUAUGCAUAAUUAUGAUAAUGCAUAUGCUAAAAUAAAAAAUAGGCAUUGGCAUAGCAUGGCAUUUAAAUCACAUUUCCUUUUAAAUACGAUUUCUAGGAAAACGUCAAGUGUGUGUAUAUAUAUAUAUACUAAAAAUAACUGUCCACUCAUAGAUAUGUCGAUGGGUCGUAACCCCCGAGUCUCGAUUGAUUACGCUCGUCCUGAGAAUAGGCCUCACCUAUAGGCGUAAUAACCGAAUAAACGUUAUUUAACGCACAUAACCAACAAUAGGUAAUAACUUCUCAUAUAUUGCUUAAAUUGGGCAUAUGAAUAUACCACAGUGACCUACACAACCUCAGGAUCAUCCCCAAAUUUUUAGAAUAUUUUUCCGAGCUCCCAUGCGCCGCCACGCGCCGGCCAAGGAAUGGCCAGACGCGCCCCCACGCGCGGCUAUGUGCCAGGCACAUUGACGGCGUCAGUUAACGCCGUCAGGAAUAUUCUGUCGAAUAUUCUGUUUAUUCCUUAAUAAAACUUAACGGCGUGACCUAACGCCAUUAGAAUAUUCCGUUAAACCUAUUGGAAUAUUCUCUCAUCUUCUACCUUCAGCUCCGGCGACCGUCGCCGUCGUCGGAAACUGGGAAAUUUUCAUUUCCUUAUAUCUUCUUCAUUUUUAACCCAAAAUUUAUGAAACUUGAACCAUUUUAAAGAUCUCACAAUGAAGAACAAAGCCAUACCUGAUUCGAGCUUUGAAACCCGCUGGAAAAAGCUUUGAUAAUCCGGCAAACCUUAAAACUCGUCGUUCUCACGAUUUCGACGUCCAAUUUCUUCAAACGAAGUACUUCGAGCUUCGCAAGGACCUCCUUAAGCUCCCUAUGUCCUUAAAAUUCCCUAAAAAUCAACAUUUUACGUGAGCAUGAAUAGUACCUCAAAUCGGGUUUUGGGUAAACGAUCAAGUCAAUUUCCUGGACUGUAGGAAAGUCUUGGCGUCCAUUUCGUCAUGGGAAGAAUUAGAAAUGUAUUGGAGGAAACUGGCGAAGUCUGUAUCCUUGUAACGUGUAGGGUUUGCUUCGUCAAUGAGUUUAGGUGAUGGCCGAACUGUGCUCUUGAAUGGCAGGCUGUGCAAUGAAGCUACAGAUAUUCGAGACUUGCAAGAGUUGACCAGAACCCUAUGGACCACGCUCUUGUAUCUCCCAUUGCUAAAUAUCUGCAUUGCGUGCAUCCCCAACAGUUCACCACACACACAUAUAUAUCAAACUCAAUUUACUAAUCCAUAUAUAUAUGCCCUUAAUUAGUUAUGACAUGAUUAGUGUUGUUAAUUGGAUGACCGUUCAACCUAAAAAAGUGGGAAUUAAAGGGCUAGUAAUAAUGUUAAUCUGUUAGACAACCAUGAAAUUUAAAAGUUAAGUUCGUGAAAAAUAGUCAGCAUGACUGUAAAUGAAGCAAGCCAACAUUUGUAACUAGCUUGUGUUUGUGGAACUCAAAGAAGAACUUUUUUUUUGUGUACAUGUGAUGUCGACGUGGCACUACAAAUCUAUACAAAUUAUAACACGUAAACUGUGCCUAGGGUUCACCACUUUGGAUUCAGCUAGGUUUCAUUUACUAAUACGUUAUUUUGGGGAAAUCAGUCAUGUCCAGCCAAAUAGUUGUAACUAGCUAAUAAGGUUUCUGUGUCUCCAAGAGCUUGAAAGAAACUGUGUUAUGAUUGGUAUGACAAUUGGAAAUCUUAUAAGAGAUGAAUGCAGGGAUCGAUACAAUAUGUGAUGCACCUAUUCAAUAUCACAUGCAUGCUUCACGGUUAAUUAAUUGAUAAUUGCCAACCUCAAGAUGAUCACCAACAUUGACAACGAAAGAAUUUGGAAGUGGUUCCACGGUUACCCAACUUCCUUGAUUCUGUAUUUGAAGACCCCCAACUUCAUCUUGAAGUAGAAGAGUGAGGAGGCCAUAGUCCGAAUGGGGUGGCAUACCUAGUGUUAAAUCAGGUUCAGGGCACGCAGGGUAGCAAUUCGCCACAAUGAGUUGGCUUCCAUCUUCAAAAUCCUCCAAACUGCCUUUACCCUCACCGCCUUUUGUAGCUUCCACCAAUCCUAGGCUCUCCAUGAUGGCCUCCAUUAGCAUUAGAUACAAAAACUUGGUGCUCUUCGAGUAGUUUACCACUGCUUCCCUAUGCAUAUAUAAUGACAUGAUGUUUAAAAUUCGAAUUAGAAGUCGAUUAAAAUCAAAGUGAUUGCAUCCAAAUAUUAUUAGGAUGUACAGAAAAAUCAAUAUAAGUAAACAAAACAAAUUGAAUAUACAAAUGUGUGUGUUACGUUAGCAAGUCGAUGCAUGACCAAAAAAAUACAAUCACUGGUUGUAUAUCUAUGUCCUGAUCUCUUUAAUACAAUAGUCGAAUACAGCUCAUGAUAGAAAUUUUUACUCAUCAAUGACUAACAGAACCCUAAACUUGAGAUAUAUAUGUGAGAAGAGAAGCGAAGAAUCACCUUAAGUCCGCUGGAGAAGAAGGCCAACAGGACACAGUGUCUUGUAAAGGAUGGCAGCCAAGUUUCAGAAAGUCUCUCCAGCAAAAUACUUUAUCAUUGUUCUGGUUAAAGCUUGUUCCAUACCUAGCUGGGGAAGAAAUAUCCUUUGACAUGUACUUUGAUCUCUCAUUGAAAGGGAGCUCGAAAAAUCUUCUGCUUACAUCAAUAAUUUCAAGAAUAACAUCAUCUUUGAUACCAUGGUUUAUCAACUGCAGCAAUAAAAAUAAUAAAAGGUUUAUAUUUAGUUUCAUAAGUUUUGUCAUAUGACUGGUUAUGCAUAUGGACCUAUAUAUAUAUAUAUGUAUAUAUUUAGGGUUCCUUUUCACAAAAAUUUAUGCGCUAUUCAAACCAAGCGGGAUCCCGUUAGAGAAGCAGAAUUAUAUGACAUGCAUAUGGACAAUUAUGCAACAACAUGAACUAGAUGAUGAUCACAUUAAAGAAGGAAGGAACAUGCAUACGAUUGAACAUCUACCUGAAAAAACCCGAAUUCUUCGCAAGCGUUUGCAAGGGACUCUAUUACUUGGGAUCUGUUGGACCCUUGCAACUGAGUAAAAUCAAUAACUGGCAACUUGAGGUUAUGCUUGCUAGCAUUCCCAGUGUCUCCCAAGUCGGGUCGUUCUUGGACGGGCAAUAUGUACUUGCUUGGAACCCUAGUCAGCCCUCUUUCACAUAAAUGUCUCACUCCCUUCUGGAGGUAUUGGAUUUCGGUUUCUUCAUUUUCGAUAUUGUAUGUACCAUCAGCAGUACUAUUUGAACCCAUUUCAGGUAACAUACAGAUAUUAUCAAAGAGAGAGUUAAUAUAUUUAUAAUACAAAGCAAAGCAAUGGAUGGCAAGAAGGAAAAUAUUGGGUGGCUUUGAACCGUUUAUUUCCAGAGAUGUGUGGAGAAGAAAAGGGGUGGCUGGGAAGCAAAAGCGGCGGGGGGGGGGGGGGGGGGGUGGCACUAGAGGCAAUAAGUUAAUGAAUAAUUUCAGAGGUGGUGUACUACUUAAAGGGAGGGAAAGAAUAGACUUGUUAGAAUUAGUUUUUGAGAUAUAUACACGGCCUGGUCCCAUAAUAUAUAUAUAUAUAUAUAUAUAUAUAUAUAUAUAUAUAUAUUCCUUGUGCAAAGAGACCUUUGACCAAGUUUAGUCUGACCUUAUAUGUAGCAAAAAGAUCGACACCUGAGUCUAAAUCUUGAGGCGGUGGAGCAUGACUGCUGGUGACGAACUUCGACAAUCUACAUGGUGGCCCGCGUGGAAUUACAAAGUCAACAUUUCUUAGGUCUACUGAAAGAUUUUUUAAUGUGACCGGCACACGAGGUGAUAUAUAAUGUGUUACUAUACAAAUGAUGGGAUGUGUGUGUUAAAAAGUUAAUAACUUAAAAAGUAAAAUUUCCUAUCACUUACAUAAAAACACGUGGUGUACCACCCGUGUUUCCAUCACAAUAAAAAAUUUCUCUUUUACCAAAAUUCUCAAAUCGUACUGAAAAAAUCCCGAAAAAUUCGGUACUCAAUCUUGAACUGAUCCCGAAACUUCGGUACAAGAAUCGGUCUCACAAUCUGACUUUUUCGGUAAUCCCAAACCAAACCAAAGUUAAAAUAUAUAUAGUUUUAGAUAUUAUAGGCUGUUGGAUUUCUAAGCAUUUUGUCGAAUGUGUGAAGGUUUGAGGAUCCUUGGUUUCGGAUUAGGAUGGGUGCAGGUUUUUUGGAGGGUUUCAAGUUGGGUGGGUUCUUGUUUAGGGUGGGUGCAGUGCAGGAAGAUGCGAAUCUAACACGAAUCGAGUCCCAAAAUCCAGGUAAGGGUUUCUUAUUUUCACUAGAUUUUUGUUCUUUAGGGUUUAAGGUCAAAUUUCAUGUUGAUUAACUUGAUUUCUAAGCAUUUUGUUGAAUGUGUAAGGGUUUGAGGACUGAGGGUUUCGGGACUGAUGAAAUCAAGAAAGGUUAGUUUGUGAUGAUUUCUUAUUAGCUGAGGCCUGAAAGCAGCUAUGUUUUGGUGCAUGAUUCAUGAUUUAAGAUGGUUCAAUUGUUUAAUAUAGAAUGAUUCCAUAUAUUAAGUGAUGCAUGCUUGCUGAAUGUGGUGAAUGGUGAUCUUCUAUUUUAUGCAAUUUGUAUUCAAAGGAUCCACAAAUUGUUUUCCAAUGCUAUGUGUUAUUUGUUUGUCAUAGAUAUUGAUAAUCCUUUGAAUUAAUUAGAAUGUCUGGCUCAUCUGUUUCGUUUUUCUCUGCAGAAGUUCCCAUCCUUUGAAUUAUUUCAAGAUUCUUGAUUUAUUCCGAAAUCCCAAAACUAUCUCAGGAUUCCCGAAAUUUGGGAUUUCCAAAUAUUUGGUUUUCCGAAAACUUCGGUUUGGGAAUCGGGACAAGGUUUUCAGUUCGGUAUCCCAUACCGAACCAACCCUAGAUAUUUCCUAUAGGCUUAGCUUCUAGCAAUAAAUCAACUUUGUCUUCCAACUCUUCAUUUCUCAAUCGUUGAAGUACUAGUUUAGUACUGAGGUGUUUUUUAAAAAAAGGGUAUCAAAAAAAGUUAGGAGCAUUUUUGUGUUUGGUAAACUUUCAACUUCAAUUUUUUUUCACAAUUUUGGAUGAAAAAAGCCAAAAAACAGAAGCAGCAAAAGCUAGCUUUGAAAAACCGACUUUUUUUGCUUCCACAGCUUCUGCCCAAACCUAAUUUGCAAGAGGCGCUGAGUCAUUUAAUGAAACUUUCAAAUACUAAAAAUGGCCUUAAACAAUUAAAUAAAGUACACAUAAUACCAACUAGAAGACGUCGCCGACUUUAAUUGGGAGAUCGUCCGCCACAACGUUGUUCACUCCCAGCUUCAACAAUCACCGUUAUUGACCUUGGAUUCCAUACCCUACGACAUCGUUUCUGUCUCUAUCCUUUCACCCAUCUCUCGUUCGUCCUCUCUCACUCCCACGCCGACAAAAUCGCGCCGAGAAACACCACCAUCGUUUCCUGCGAUAACCAGACUCGAAUUUAGAUUAGGUUUUGGCAUCGUGGACUUGCCUAGAUUUCUCAGAUUGCACCACUUAUAGGAGAAUGAUAUUCGUAUUUCUGCAAAUUAGGAGAGCCCAGAUUGCCCAAACGAAGAAAAUGAGGAAGAAAAAUGCAGUGAGACAUGUGAGAGAGAUUUAGGAACAACCCAUUAAAGACGGCAUAGUCACAGCGUUGGCGCCUUCGAAAUCCAUGGAGAUGAAAAUAAAUAAGAAGAAGACGGAGCAGAAAAAAUAACAACUAAGAAAAUUGGGGUAGUGGAGGAGACUUCUAGAGAGAUUUUUUUGGUUUUUGGGAAAGUCUAGUUUGAUGCAGAUGGAGAAAAUAAAGGGGGAAGACUCUAGAGAGAGUAUUAAUAAAUAAAAUAAUAAAUAAAAUUAUUAUUCUUUAUUUUUUGUCAAAUAUAAAUAAAAUUAUUCUUAUUUUACAUUUAAUAUCAUACUCAUUUUUGUCAUUUGACAUAGUCACAUCAGCUUUAUAUAAAAGUUUACCAAACACCCUUACACUUAAAAGCACUUUUAUAAAAAAAGUUCACCAAACACUCAACUACUUUAUUUUACAGCUGUUGAUUCUCACAGCACAGCAGAAGCAAUUUUUUUUAAAAAGCACAGCAAUACCAAACUAGCCCGAAGUAAAUCAUCUUUAAGGUAGAAAAUUUUGAAUCUUAUAUAUGUAUGAUGAAUGAUGAUGCCAAAACUAAGGCUUUGGUAACAACGCAAGGAAGUGGCUGAUAUUGACUGAUGCUAGGGCUUGUUUGAUAUAAUCAUUUUGUUUUUAAUUUUUCUGAGGAAAUUUUUUAUGAAAAAGGAAGAAUGAACAAUAUCAAAAGAAUGUCAUGAAAUGAAAACUAGAAAAACCAAAUUCAAAACAAUUCUACGUUGUUUUCACUGUCAAGUUGGUUUUCAUAUAAUCUUCUUCAUUUCUCCCAUUAGACCAUUAGACUGAUUGGUAGCUACCAUUGCAAUAAGUAAUUGGGCAGUUGUAGAAUUUUCAACAAUGAUCUCUUCAGCAAGUAACUAGAGGCGAAGCUAUGUAGGAGCGAAGGGGGGCGUUCGCCCCUCCGCUCGCCGGAAAACAAAGGCAGGAGCGACGCUUGAAUCCCCCUAGUUCGGCCGGAAACUGGGGAGCCCCGGGUUCUGAAACCAGAAACAGAUAGCUCUCGGGGAAGACGAUCGGGAGGGAUUUUUUUAAAUUUUAAAAUCCAGGCCAAAACGACGUCAUUUUGGGCCUGGUAAAAAAAAAUUAAAUUUUUUUGGUAAACGACGUCAUUUUGGUUGAAUGAAAAAAAAAAUAUAUAUAUAAACGGGGGACCACUGGUCCCCAUCCAUCCCCAUCUCAAUCCCCAUUCUAUUUCAAAUUAAAAACCCUUAACCCUAUUCCCCAUAUCCCAUCCCGUCAGUCCCCCCACCCCACCUUUUCCCCCCUUUUCCCCACCCCACACGACAAAACCUUCUAUCCUGUAGCAGAUUUCACUUUCCAUUGGCAGACACAUCAGUCUGCAACUGCAAGCACAUCUGCACAGCCACUCCAAAUUCCAAUUAAGGUAAAAAAAUUAAUUUAUUUCAAACCCUAAUUGAUUAUUGAAUAUAAAUUUUUGUUUAAUUGAUGUAGGAUUAUAGGGUUAUACAUUAUAAUUAUAUGGUUAUUGAUUAUAGAUUAUUCAUAUGAAUACUAUGAUUAUUGAUUUUUUUUUUUGAAGUACAUAAAAGAGGACUGAUACAUUAUAUAUACAUUAACAUAAUGAACCCCAAUUCAACUAACUAAAACCCUCAUUCAAAUGCAUUGUUGGUACUUAUUAAUUACAUUCGUAGUCUACAUACUCUACUGUAGAAUAAAAAUUGAUUAUUCAUAUGAUAUGAUUGUUGGUACUGAUUAAUUAAAUUCGUAGUCUACUCUAGGACUAAGAGUCUAAGAUAUAUUUGUUUUUCUUUCGUUAUACAGUUACGUAAUGGAACGAUAUUAUAAGAAACAGUGCUUAAAUCCUUCUCCAAAUAUUCCGGAUAGUCCUCCUCUUCCUUCAAAUAUUCCGGGUAGUCCUCCUCCUCCUUCUAGUAUUCCGAGUAGUGCACAACAAAGUGAGAUUACUGAGUUGGAUGAAAUAUUAGCUAAUCUUACGGCAGACCCUGGACUGAGACGUCGAAUGCUUGAUUAUCCACUCAAUUGUCGUGAAGCAAUUCGUAGAUACUACCUUCAAAAGGAACCUUGUCAACCUAAGUCUCACAUCAUGCCAAGGAAAGCUAACGACAAUCGAUGUUUUAUUACAGGUUGGUUUGAUAAUUUUAAGUGGUUGGAGUAUAGUAUAGUAAAAGAUGCUGCAUUUUGCCGUUAUUGCUAUCUUUUUAAAUGUGAUUUUGAUAAAGUGGGUGGUAGUGGAAGUGAUGUCUUCACUACAAAAAGGUUUACAAAUUGGAGGAAAGGACCCAAAAAUUUUCGAGUCCAUGAGGGAGGUGUUGAAAGUCUUCAUAAUAAAGCUAUGCAACAAGCUAAAGACUUGAUGACCCAAAAACAACACAUUGAAACAUUUGUGAUCAAGCAAACUGAUGAAGCUCGCGUUAAUUAUCACACUUUACUGAGUGGAGCACUUGAUUGCACAAGAUGGUUGUUGCGACAAGGUUUGGCUUUUCGUGGGCACAAUGAAUCUUUGAAAUCGAGCAAUAGGGGUAAUUAUAUAGAGCUUAUGCAAUUUCUUGCCGAUCAUAAUGAGAAAGUUAGAAAGGUUGUGUUUGAGAAUGCUCCCAAGAAUCUCAAGUAUACUUCUUCCGAUAUUCAAAAGGAUCUUGUUCGUGCUUGUGCUAUUGAAACUAUUAAUGCAAUCACUAAAGAUAUGGAAGGUACAUUUUUUUCUCUUUUGGUUGAUGGAUCACGUGAUGCUUCCAAUAAAGAGCAAAUGGCGGUGGUAUUGCGUUAUGUGAACAAAAAAGGAGAAGCAAUUGAAAAGUUUUUGGGUGUUCAACAUGUCUCCUCUACAACUAAUAGCUCACUUGAAGAGGCUAUUGAGAGAUUGUUUGCUACAACAAAUUUGAGUAUGUCCAAGUUACGAGGACAAGGCUAUGAUGGAGCUAGUAAUAUGAGAGGUGAGUUAAAUGGUCUUAAAACAAAGAUUUUGAACAAAUACCCUCAAGCAUUUUAUAUUCAUUGUUUUGCACACCAACUUCAACUAGCUCUUGUAUUUGUGGCAAAGGAAAAUGAGGAUGUUGCCAAUUUCUUCAUCAAUGCUAAUAGAUUGGUGAAUCUUAUUGGAUCUUCGUGCAAGCGUCGUUGUAACAUCCCACAUCGCCCAGGGGAGUGAUCCUUAAAUGUAUAUUCCCAUCCCUACCUAGCACGAGGCCUUUUGGGAGCUCACUGGCUUCGGGUUCCGUAGGAACUCCGAAGUUAAGCGAGAAGGGGGCUAGAGCACUCCCAGGAUGGGUGACCCACUGGGAAGUUGCUCGUGAGUUCCCAAAAACAAAACCGUGAGGGAAUGGUAAGCCCAAAACGGACAAUAUCGUGCUACGGUAGUGGAGCGGGCCCGGGAAGUGGUCCGCCCCAGGCCGGGAUGUGACAAUUGGUAUCAGAGCCAAUCCCUGGCCGAAAGUGUGCCGACGAGGACGUCGGGCCCCUAAGGGGGGUGGAUUGUAACAUCCCACAUCGCCUAGGAGAGUGAUCCUUAAAUGUAUAUUCCCAUCCCUACCUAGCACGAGGCCUUUUGGGAGCUCACUGGCUUCGGGUUCCGUAGGAACUCCGAAGUUAAGCGAGAAGGGGGCUAGAGCACUCCCAGGAUGGGUGACCCACUGGGAAGUUGCUCGUGAGUUCCCAAAAACAAAACCGUGAGGGAAUGGUAAGCCCAAAGCGGACAAUAUCGUGCUACGGUAGUGGAGCGGGCCCGGGAAGUGGUCUGCCUCGGGCCGGGAUGUGACAGUCGUGAUGCAUACCGUGAGGGAAUGGUAAGCCCAAAGCGGACAAUAUCGUGCUACGGUAGUGGAGCGGGCCCGGGAAGUGGUCCGCCCCGGGCUGGGAUGUGACAGUCGUGAUGCAUUGAGAGAGAAACAACAAGAACAAAUUCAAAAAGCUCUUCAUCUUGGUAAUCUUGAAACGGGUAAAGGGUUAAAUCAAGAAAGUAGCCUCAUGCGUCCAUGUGAUACACGGUGGAACUCGCAUUAUGGUACUAUAGUUAGUAUUAUUGUUAUGUUUGAAGCCGUGGUGGAGGUGGUUGAAUGGAUUAAAAGUGAUCGCAACCAAGAUAAUCUCGGUGAAGCUACUGGGUUAUUCAAAGACAUACAAACUUUUGAUUUUGUGUUUCACCCUUUCUUGAUGAGACUUAUAUUGGGAAUUACAAAUGAGUUAUCACAAGCAUUGCAAAAGAAACAUCAAGAUAUUGUGAAUGCGAUGGCGUUAGUGGAAGUAUGCAAGCAAAGACUACAAUCCUUGAGAGAUGAUGACUUUGGGGACUUGUUGCAUGAUGUAGAAAAGUUUUGUGAGGAGCAUGAUAUUGUCAUUCCUAACAUGGAGGAUUUGCAUUUCGUACCUAGAAAAUCAAGGCGUAAAGCUCCAAAAAUCACAAACUUCCAUUACUAUCGUGUAGACCUUUAUUUUCAAGUCAUUGAUAUGCAACUAAAGGAAUUGAAUGAUCGCUUCAAUGAGGUAAACACCGAGUUGCUUUUUUGUAUGGCAUGUUUGAGUCCAGUGAAUAAUUUUGCAUCUUUUGACAAAGAAAAAAUUGUUUGUUUAGCCCAACUUUAUCCUCAAGAUUUUGAUCGUAUGGACCUCAUGAAUCUUCCAAUUCAACUUGACAAUUACAUUUAAGAUAUGAAGAUGUAUAGUGAGUUUUCAUCAUUGAGAGGAAUCAGUGAUCUUGCAAAAGAGUUAGUGAAGACUAGGAGGUGUGAAAGCUAUAUGUUAGUGUAUAAGCUUCUUACAUUGGCUUUGGUGUUACCAGUUGCAACCGCUUCGGUGGAGAGAGCUUUUUCUGCUAUGAAGAUUGUGAAAACACCAUUGCGUAAUAAAAUGGGAGAUCAAUGGUUGAGUGAUAGCAUGGUUGUUUACAUUGAGAGAGAUGUAUUUGCUUUUAUUGAUAAUGAGCCUAUUAUGCGACGUUUUCAUGACAUGAAACAUCGUCGACAACAAUUGUAAUUUGUUUUUAUUGAUUAAUUAUGGAAGACAUUAUUAUAUACAAAGAUUUAGUUGUUGCUAUUUUUUUUUAACCUUGCACUGUUUUAAAUUUGCCCAUCCUCCCGAGAAAUCCUGGCUUCGCCACUGCAAGUAACUGAGAUCGAAAUUCCUUGAGAGAUAUCAUACUUUCAUGACCUCUAAUUACUGUUCGAAAAGUGUUAUACUCAGAGGGUAACCCAUUUAGAGCAAGAAGGACAAUAUCCUCAUCAAGAAAAUAUACCCCUACAGUAGACAAGUAGUCCCUAGCUUCCUUGAUUCUAUGCAAAUAUUGAAAAAUAGAAUCUGUUCCCUUCUUGAUUGUUUGAAGAUUGGAUUUCAUUUGGAAAAUACUAGUUUUGGACAGUUGAAAACUGUUCCUUCAAUCGAAUGCACAAAUCUCUCGAACUAGUACUUCCAAUUGCACAAGAUAAAGCAACCGAUGAAAUAGUUGCAGUAAUUAAUUGCAUAAUAACCUUGUCAUGCAUUUUCCAUACUACAAACUCAUCAGUUUCAAUAUAAAGGACAAAUGUGGAGAAUUUAUACUAGAUUCACAUGAUGUAGAUGAGUGUUGAGCCGAAUGAGGCAUAGAACCGUCAACAAAACCAAGAAUACCAUUGAUUUCUAGGAGAAGUUGCAUCUAGAACUUCCAAUUCAGGUAAUUGGAGUCAUCAAGUUUGACAUUAAAUCAUGUUGAAAUCGUCGAGAUAAGAGUUGUAAUCGGAGAUUAAAGAAGUUGGAGUUGUUAUGCAAUCACCAAACUUGCAGAGUUCAAAGAUUUUAGAAGUCGAGAGAAAUCCUAGAAACCACCGACAGUGAAACUGUUCAAGAAAUCGAAGGCGAAAUCCAGAAAUUUGCAGAGGAAGACGAAGAAAUAAAGGAAGACAAAGACGUUGAUGACGAUAGUGGAAGCAAAAGGAUGAUCGAGAAAGCUUGACUUGACUCUGACACCAUGUAAAACUGUGCAGCCAUGUAUGAACACAGAGAGAAUCUUGUAGAGGAAGAAGGAGAUAAAAACUAACUUUCUUGAUAUAUUUCUUAAUGACCAAGUAAUACAAGCUUAGGCUAUUUAUACAUGCAUGCUUUACUACAAGAGUAACUAACUAACUAACCAAACCUCUAAUCUGUCCACUUUUCAAAAAGUUCAGUAAACCACACUAGAGCAAAAUUUUGUAAAAUAAAACAUAAGACUUUGUGUAUAUAUAUACACACACAAUUGUCACAAAUACAAUUUCACAACAUCUGAUGUAAGAGUAAUGUUAGGUAGAUCAAAUUGUAGACCAAAUUUGCAAAAUUAAAUGAUGUGUUACCAAUAGAAAUAAGCACGUUAAUCAAUAUUUAAGUAAUAAUUCAACCAUCAACUUCUAUAUCAUUUAGUUUUUUAAAUUUUAUCUACAAAUUUAAUCUUCUUAACAUCAUCCCUGAUCUAAUGACAUCAAUAUAUUGAUGUUAUCACAACUAAAUCUCUUAAUUAAUGCGUCUCACCUCUACCAACAAAGCGACACCAAUUUUUGUCUUAAUUUUAAGGCACACAUUGGUUUUGUUUUUGUUUUUUUCUUUUUUCUUUUUUUAGUUUUUGGUUUUUUUCUUUUCUGUUGACCAACGGCGGAGGCAGUAACAAGGCUAGGGUGGGCUCUAGGAUAGGGAGAGUUUUAGUUGUUUAAGGUUAAAAAUACUGAUAAUUUAGACUAUUUUAUUAUUUUUAAUUGUUAUAGCCCAUCCAAUAAUUAAAAGUUUUGAAAAAUAUGACUACUUUUAGAAAAAGUAAGAGUUAAUAAAUAUUAAAUAAAUUAUUUACUUUAAUCAAUAUCAAAAUUUAUUAUUAUUAUAUUUAAAAUCGUACACAAUGACACACACGUCCCAAUAAAUCUUUUUAUUUGAUUAGUUUCUAGGGAGUAGUCUAUAGUAAUUAGUUUAGGUUUCUAGGGGUGAUCAUCCGGUUUUAAAAAGUAAAUUUAAUAUUUUAUUAUUUUAGGUUUUCUAGACUUUUGGGGUACAACAGUGAUCAUUUUUCACUUUUCAGAAAGCCUUGGUCCCAUCUCGUCUGCAGUUCAUAGAAACCAAACAUACAAAUGAGAAAGUUUAUUGAUUUUUCUCAUCAAUAGGUAAGUUUUUUUAUCACUUUAUUCUUAUGUCUUGAUGAUUUUAUUUGUUUAUUACUUUAAUUUUAAGAGUUCGUACUUUAAAAAUUCAAUUUCAAUCUUAAUAUAUUUUUUCUGAUAGAUAUAGAUGGAGAGUGAAUUUUUAGCAGAUUCAAUGGUUGUGUACAUGAAAAGGAGCUUGCCAAAAUUGAUUCAGAAGAAAUAACAAAGGAUUUCAAUUCCAUUAAGGAUCGAAGGGCACAACUUGAAUAGGUACUUUUUCUUUUACUUGUUAAGUUGUUAUGACAAGAUUGAUGAUGUAUGCCUCUUUCGACUAUAAGUUGCAACUUCAAAUGAUUUCUUUGUUAAAUCUAGUUGAAACUUGCUUUAUUCAUAGUUAAAUUUCUUACUUUAAAUUAUUGUUGUCAGGCUUGUUAUUGUGUCACUUUAUGUAAAUAACAAAAAAAUUUAACCAUUUGAUCUCCUAGUAAUAAUUUUAGUCUAGCCCGCUCACCCACCAAAUAAUGGACAAGGAUUGUCUACCCUCCCACUUCUCGUGUCCUCCCAUGCUCUUUUGUUUUGUGUGGUCACGGUUAAGUCACGUCAACAUUUUAUAUUGUUUUUUUUAUAGAGAUAAUAAGGUAAAAAUGAAUAGUAAUAUAAAAUGUUAACGUAGCUUAACCGUGUCCCCAAAUAAUUCCAAGCUCUGCUUGCUGUUGACGUCAAGUCGAAUCCCAAUCUCGUCAGUGUAAACGUAAAUGUAAAUGCAUGCACAUAAGCCAUCAGUACUUGUCACGGCCGACACCUUUUCUGAAGUUUUUUUUGGGUACGCGGCCGUGACCUUUUCUUUUGUUUUUGUCCGUACGUGGCCGUUUCCCGUUGAAUACUACUAGAAGCUCCAAUCCUUGCCAUAAUAUUCUUUCAAUUUCUAUGGCUGCAAGUCAAUCCUUGCCAUAAUAUUCUUUCAAUUUCUAUGGCUGCAAGUAUGCAUUAGAUGAAGUCAGCGGUUCAGAACUAAUUACAUUAAAUGUCGCCUUAAUUUCAUAAAAUUCAACACGUAUUAAAUUUUAUUAUAAAUUGUCCUGGUGCAAUUCGAAAUUGUACCAUUUAGUGUAAAUUAUAAUUUUAUUCUGUAAAGUUUUUGAUAUGAAAUUCUAUUCUCCAACAUAAUAUAUGACUCGCAAAUGAAUGACAAACAAUAUAAAUUUCACUUUUCACACACCUCUCUCAAUUUCGGUCCUCGAUUAAAUGAAUUGUAGAAGAUUAAUGACAAAAACAAAAAAACAAAAAUAUGUAAAAAGUAAAAAUAAAUGUGUAAAUAGCAUUAUCCUAAAUUGAUAUUGUAGAAGAGCAAUCGAUUCUCAAACUCAAGUCACGAAUCAUGGGCCUUUUUUCUAUUUAAAUUUCAUGUAAUGCUGCCUUGGGCUUUUUAUAAAAAAUACUGGACUUCUUAGAAAUCUAGAAGCCAAUUCUACAUCACUUAUUUUUCUAAAACAAAUCUACAUGUCUACGUUUUUCAAGAGUUUUUUUCACCUGCAAACGCAUAUUUUCUCGAGUACAAUUCGACAGGCAUAAGUUAACAUUUUCACAGGCCACACUAAUCUGGAGAGGAUCCCUUCAACUGAAAAGAAUUGUGUAUGUACACACACAUAUAUGUACAUAAUGAAAUUUCUGAGUCUAGCUAGGGUAUGAAUUCUUCCAUGAAAGUUGAAACAAUAAGGAAUUUUAUGUUAAAGUUAUAAAGAGCUAAGUGUGUGGAUGAUUAUACAUAUGGAGGAGUUUAACCAAAAAGUGAUAAGCAAUUCAUCUAAGAGAUUCACAAUCACGUAUAUAGAAUAUGUUUUGCAUUAUAUAGAAGUUCCUCAACCAAGAUUGAAACUAAAAACACACAAAACAGUAUAAUCUAAUCAGACUAUUUUUGCUAGCAAAACGAUUGCAUUAAGCAAGUGCAACAAGGCAAUGUGAAAUGGGUCGCCAUUGCUAUGUUUGUAUUUAAUCAAACCUAUGACUUUGAUUGUAUUUAAUCAAAUUAUUCAAGCAGGUUAUCAGCAUGGUGAAGUUUUCAACCAGGAAAUGUGAAUUGGGUCGCCGUUGCUAUGUUUGUUUGCAAAACAUGGAUGGAUGUCAACCAUCAUGAAUAUUAAAAAAGAACAAGAAAGUGGAGAGUAGGUCAACCCAUGAAAUAUUAUCUUGUUAUAUCCAUGUGUUAAAAGAUUCAUUCGUGUUGCCAAAUUGUUUUAUAGUUCUCAACUUUUUUUUUAUGGUAUCGGAUCAUGUUGUCUCAUAUGUGAAGCCUAACGGUCACAUAUAUGCUCCAUGUCACUCAAUUUAUGUAGCCCACGUGUUAGCUUUGAAUCUUACAUUGGGAAAAGAGGAGACCUUACGUUUGCUUAAAAGUAAUUGAACUACUUAAUUACCAAUUAGUUUUUAUGAUAUAAUCUCAACUUUUUUCAAGGUGAUUUUUGGACAGAGGCUUAACGGUAUUAUCAUGCCAUUGCUGAGGAAAGAGGAUGACAUCCACGAUCAAGCCAAUAAUCUAAUCUACUGUUUGAAGGCUUACAGUUUUGUUCAUUUACUUGUGAUGAAAUGUGAUGAAAUUUGAAUUAUCGAAAAAUUUAUGUAAUUGUUUUGACCUUGAGGAAAAGCGGAUGCAUGACGCACUGAUGAAAUUCUAAACAAAUUCCAGACUCCUCAGGUUCUCCAAAUUUUGUUUUCACUAGGUACGUGUGGCCUUUCUUCAACUUUGUAUCAAUUGACUUUUCUCCAUUCAUCCUUAACCUUUUUGAAAACAUUUCUAGUGUACAACGGAGCAGUAUGUUUUAACAGGAGUGAGUUCACCUUCACCAAUCUGAUGGCUUAUGUUCCGAUUCAAAUCUUCAUCACUUUCUCUUUCCACAAUUUUCUUCAGUGCUCUUUCAUUUUUCACAACAAACUCUCAAAAAUUUGUUCUUGAUGUAACAAACCCAUCAAAGAAUGAAUUAAUCCGGUCACUUCGUCCAGUAGUAUUCAUCAUUGUAAAAAAUAUGCCAGAUUAUAUAGGGGAACCCAAGAGUUACCUAUUUCUUAUAGGGGUGUGCUAUCCACACACCAUAUUUUACUUCUCACACACCCAUUGAUAAUUUAUGUCCGUUGAUCUUCUUUAAUUCAUCCGAUCCGACGGUCGAAAAUUAAAAAGGUGUGUGAGAAGUAAAAUAGGGUGUGUGGAUAUCUCAUCACUUUCUUAUAUUUGAGGUAGCUACACAUUUUCUUGCCAUUGCUUCAAGCCAAGUGUCAAACAACCACAAAAAUGUCACCUUAUCUUAAAUUUCAGGUAGACGGGCCAUGGAUCCACUCCAACAACACCAAUAUUGUCCCCACUUGGGCACCUGCUCAAUCUGUCAGGUGUGGGGUUUUAAUACAAAAUGCCUCAGUGUUAGUUAGAGUGGGGUAAUUCUAUUUCAAGGGCUUGUUCUCAAGGCUUCUGGCCGAUGCGGGACAAAGGAAUUCUAACACUCCCCCGCACGUGAGACCCCAUUUUAUGGGUCACAAAUGGGUCACACGUGAAGUUCCACACAUCGGCAACCACAUGGAGCCAAGCCGGGGCUCACCCAUUCGUGUAGGGACCCACCCAUUCACGUGGCAUCUCUUGGCCUACGUGGAGCCAAGUCAAGGCUCACCAAUUCGCGUGGGGUCAAAUGGGACCCACCCGUUCACAUGGCAGUACGAGCAUGUCCCCUAACUCUGAUACCAUCUUAAAUUUCAGGUAGACGGGUCAUGGGCCCACUCUAACAACACCGAUACUGUCCCAUUUGGCCACCUGCUCAAUCCGUCAGGUGUGGGGUUUUAAUACAAAAGGCCUCGGUGUUAGUUAGAGUGGGGUAAUUCUAUUUAAAUGCCUUGUUCUCAAGCCUUCUGGCCGGUGUGGGGCAAAGGAAUUCUAACACUCUCCCGCACGUGAGACCCCAUUUUCUGGGUCACAAAUAGGUCACACGUGAAGUUUCACACAUCGGCAACCACAUAGAACCAAGCUGGGGCUCACCCAUUUGUGUGGGGACCUACCCAUUCACAUGGCAUCUCUUGGCCUACGUGGAGCUAAGUCGGGGCUCACUCAUUCGAGCAGGGUCAAAGGGGACCCAUCCGUUCACAUGGCAAUACGGGUCUGUCCUCUAGCUCUGAUACCAUCUUAAAUUUCAGGUAGACAGGCUAUGGACCUACUCCAACAACACCGAUAAUGUCCCCACUUGGCCACCUGCUCAAUCCAUCAGGUGUGGGGUUUUAAUACAAAAUGCCUCGGUGUUAGUUAAAGUGGGGUAAUUCUAUUUAAAUGCCUUGUUCUUAAGCCUUAUGGCCGAUGUAUGACAGAGGAAUUCUAACACCUUAGUCUCAUCUUGUAGAAGAGAACAUCUAAAUUGUAUUGUCUAUAAAUGGUGGUUUACUCUGGUGAAUGGGAAAAGAAAUUAGCCACCCUUCCAUUUUCAUCACAUUGGAAUUCCAUAGAAAAAAUUAGGAUUCUCAGCUUGCUUUUAUCUUAAGUAAGGACUGAUUGAGCAUUAUGUCCAUCUAAUUGCUUGUGCCGAACAUUCCUCAAGUGGUUAUAAGAAUCUCUGUUACUGAAACCAAUGUGCCCAUCACCUAGAAUUGAAGAAACUUUUGUGAUUGGCAAACAAGAAUGAACUAGAUAGGGAUUGAAGUCACCAUCAUGAAUCAAGAACACUAUAACGUCGACGGAACAUAUUUAAGAAUGAAAAUGUAGUCAUAUUGAACUGAAAACUGGUGUAGAUGCUACUAUGAUGUUAAACUUCAUUAUAUUGAGCACAUGUUUACCGCAGCAACCAUACUGUAUGACUGCUCCAGAGAGUACCUAGAUUCCAAAAACGCACCAGCCGAUGUCUAUAAUGGCUGAUAAUCAAUUGGAUCAUUAAGUAAGGCAAUGUCACAUGUUUGUAGUGCCACAAAACACAUCAAGAAUUUUGGUACUUUGCUUUAUAUUUUCAAAAUAGGACAUUCAAAUUCCUUUGGAGAAAAAUGUGAUCAAACGGAUGAAUUUUGGAGUGAUUCAAAUUGGAGGACGUUCGUGAGUUCCUUGGCUUGUUUGUAUCAAAAUUUUGGCUUUUUCUACUAAACGAUUAUUUUCUAGCGAUGAAAUAAAGAAGCAGCAGGUGAUGAUCAAAAGUGACCUUUUUGGGCUUAAUUGUAAUUUUUGGAGCCCAAGAUGACCUCUGAUGGGUUCGUGGCCUUCUGGAGAAGUGUUCAGAAUAGUUCAAGCUUUAAAUCCAUCUAUUUUGGGCUUGUUUUGGAGUAUAUAUGGGUCUAAACAUGGGUGUGCAGACUUUGAGCGAUUUUUACUGGUCAUGUGUUUUCUAUUUUAUUUUAGUUUAUUUGGCUUCCUAGUCCAAUUCUAAGACCUUUCACAAGGAGGAUUUAAUUAUAGUAGUAUAAGUAAGCCUUUUGGCCGGCCCUAAUUCUUUCUUCUCUAUGCGAUAUUUGAGAGAUGAAUUUGGCCAAAGCUUAGAGAUUUUCAGACCUAUACAUUCAAGGUGUUUUCGAUCUUUUUCUAUUUUAAUGAAAUUCCUUUUGAUUUUAAUUAUGAAUAUUCAUAAAGAAUUCUCUUUGUAGGGUGAGGCCAUGAGCCUUAGUAAGAAUAUGUAGUUUCUUUUCAAUUUGCUUAUGAUCAUAGGCAUGCAGGUUUCAAAUUAUUAAUCAUCGGUUUAAACUAUCUAAGUGCCUUGAUGAUUCGCGACCAUUAGGAUGUUUAGAAAAGUAAUUUGAUGCAAUUUUGGUCAGAGGUCGAUCCCUGAAAUUGACGAAGGCUUUUUGUGGUUAAUAUGUGUAAGUUCACUUAGGAUAAAUAUCACGUCUUAAGGGUUGAAUGGUUUUUCAGAGGGUUUUCACAAAACUUAAUAAGUCAUGCAUGUUUAUAUUUAAUUUGAAUACCACAGAAGGAUUGUAUGUUUGGUAUAUGCUCUAUGUUGGGGAUCCAAGUAGGCAUAUAUUAUGAAAAAGUUAACUUUCAAAAUAUGCAUGUAAUAAAGGUCAUAAGUAAUUGGGAGAACUACGUAGGAUUGUUAAGUUGACAGCGAAACCCUAAUGCUUUCUCAAUUUGAUUUCUAAAAACUGUUUCUUUCUCCUUCUCUUUAAUAUUGCAGAUUUUUCUACUCUUUAAAAAUUAAAUUCGUUUUCAUUUAAUUAGGUCAUAAAAUCUAUCUUUCAAAAAUUUUGCUUUUAAAUAAUUAAUUGAGAUUUUGUUUAAUACUAAUUAUUUAAUAAUUCUUGUGGAGAACGAUCUUGCUAGAGUCAUCUAACUACAAUAUCCUUGUUACUCUUGCAAAAAUUAUAGGUGUUUUUAACCAUUUUGCGUGUAUGGUAAAAAUCCUAUCAAACUCCAUUGCCAUUGAAUCCAACAUAAACCUUCGUUGUAUCGAUUCAUGAUUACUUGUCAAAAUCCCAGAUUGUGUAUUGGAUUCGUUGUGGUGAAAAAAUCAACAGGAAUCCAAAAAUUGUUGAACCAAAAUGCGACUAAGUAGACAUACGUAAUGGAUCCAAUGUAAACGUAACAGUGCAUGUAAACAUACAUGCAUGUGAAGUUGGUCCUGGCCCCUUCUAUAGUCUCCGUGUAAACAUAUACGAUGAGCAGAUAAAUCAUUUACGUUUUAUUGAUGAUUUGUGAUCUACCUGCUUACUUGGAAUAUCAGCUUUUCAUUGAUGCCAUGAUAUUACGUAUUUAUUACAGUUUACAACAAGAUAUUUGGGAUUCUUGAUUUGUUACCAUUGGUUUCUUCAAAAUGAUAUUAUAUUGAGACGAUUUAUAACUGUUAGUUUCUUCAGAAUGAUUUUAAAUUGAGAAUUUAUGAGAUUUACCCAUCUUCUAGAAAUAAAUUAUUUUUUGCUAUUGUCUUGUUUUUCGUACUUACGAUGUAGUAUGAUUUUGUCUAUUAUGCGGGUUAUUACAGUAAGGGGUUAGUGUGUUCGAAAUUUUUAUUUUGCCCACUUACAUCUUUUGUUUUAUGCCUCUCUAGGAUCUAGUAGACUUUGAAGCUUUUGAUAUCAAGAAUGGUGGCAUAAUCUUCCCUCAUCAGUGUAGGGAUUAUUCUUAGUAAUUUCUAAUUAAUAUCUUCAUAUGUGUUACAUUGUAUACUUUCGUUGUAGAUAUUUAGAUACUCUGAUUUCUAUUACAUUUAAUUUAGGAUUCAUCACACUCAAUGUGCACUCUACUCUAUUUUUAUAUUCUUACUUUAAUUUAUUUGUACUUUUACACAUUAUCACUUGCAUGUCAUGGCUUCAUCACUUUUCAGUUAUCGACCAACAUGCUUCUGUUUCGAUAUCCACGUGGAUUUCCGAGCCCGGGUAUGUCAAGUCCAUAUUUAUUAUUUCAAAAUUUAUUUAUUUGAAACAAUAGAAGUUGAACUUGCCAUGUCAUAUUCAAUCUCAUCCGCUCAUAGUGGGGCUAAUCCAAUGGCUUAAGAGUUGUGUCAAAAGUUGUAUUCAAAAUAGUGCAAUGGAUUUGGGGACACGCUUUUGACACCCAUUUAUAUGGCCCAUUACAAAACGAUUUACAUUCAUUUAUAGUAAAUAAAAUAAACAAAUACGGUUCUACAAAUAAAUACUAAAUGAUAAAUCUCUGUUUAUUACCCUCAAGUUUCGUGGUUUUCAACAUUUAGUAUAAGAAGUUUUUUUCGUCAUAGAGUCAUACCUAAAGUGUUAAUUUUGGGACAAUCUCAUACAUUCUCAUAUAUCUGUUAAGUUUUCUGUUAGAACUUACGUUAACUGAUGACGUGGCUCCCACAUAGACAAUUAAUGAGUGCCACGUGUCAAUAUGGGCCCACUUCAAUAUUAACAAAUUAAAUAAAUACAAAAACACAAAAAAAAAACCCCACCCAUCUUCUACCUCACCCCAACCCUGUCCCUUCCUUUUUUCCUCUGCAGCCCCUGAUAACAAUUUUACCGUCUAUGCAAAUAGGAUCAAAAUCACAUGAAAUACUUGCAAGAAUACAAGGAUAUUGUAGUAUAGAUGCUCAUGAAAGGUCGUUCUCCUCAAGGACUAAUUGAAUAAUUUAUGUAGAAACAAUUCCUAAUUAACUACUUAGAAUUAAAAAUUGAGAAAAGAGAUUUUGGAAUUGGAUACUAUUAAAAACAAAUUUUAAUUAAAAAUAAUAUGAUAAAAGAAAAGAGUUUUAAAUACCAAUUUAGAAAAGCACUAGGGUUUCACCAUCACCUAGCAAUCCUAUUAAUUCUUACCAACUACUUAUGAUCUACACAUGCCAUUUUGAAAGUUAGGUUUUCCUAAUUUAUAGUCUACUUGGAACCUCCAACAUAAAACAUAUAUCUAACAUGCAAUCCGUCCAAACGUUGGGAUCAAAUCUGAACAUGAGAGACUCAUUAUGCUUUAUGAAAACCCUUUCAAAAACCAUGCAACCCUUAAGACAUGGUGUUCAUCUUAAGUGAAAUUACAAUUAUUAAUCAUAAGAAGUUAGCGUCAAUUUCAAGGAACCGUCCGACCAAAAUUGCAUCAAAUUACUUUUCUAAAUAUCCUAAUGGUGAUCAGGCAUUAAGACAAUUAGAUAGUUUUAAUCACAGUGAUCAAUAAUUCAAAAUAUGCAUGCUGUUGAUGCACAAAAUCAGUGAGGACUUUGGUACAACAGAAAAUGUUAAGUUUGUGACCUUCGCUAGAUUGCUUCGGUCACUAGUGUGGAUAAGUAUGUAAAUGGAUAGAGGCAGGAAAACAAACACAAGAUGUACGUGGUUCACCCAGAUUGGCUACGUCUACGGAGUAGAGGAGUUCUCAUUAAUUGUGAAGGGUUUACACAAGUACAUAGGUUCAAGCUCUCAUUUAGUGAGUACUAGUGAAUGAUUUAGUUCAAAUAACAUUAGGAAAUAUUGUGGGAGAAUGAUCUUCUUUUAUAGAAGAGAGUUUCUAGCUUUGUUUUGACAUUGACACGUGUUGUGUUAUGAUUGGCUUCUGAUGUUGACACGGGUCGCGCUAUGAUUGGCUUCUGAUGUCGACACGUGUCGCGCUGUGAUUAGCCUCUUGGUUGGAGGGAAACUCUUCUGGGUCCUUGACAGUAUAACGUUGACCGGUGCUUAGUUUCGGGAUUGGUCAAGUAUGGUACAAACAGUGCUCCCCUAAGUUCCCGAGUGAGGGAAGCUCCUCAGUUUGGGACUUGCAAGAUCCAAACCGCUGAGUAAUCACGAAACUUCUAAGUAUCGAAGUGUGGUAUCGUCUUCACUUGCCUUACGUAUCUCAUAGGUAGAUGUGGCAUCUUCUUUAGAAGUACUUUUCCUCCAUCCAGGGGUGGUAUCUUUAACUGGUGGAAAUGCACAAGGUAAUGUAUCAAUUUGACUUGAAGCUUACUUGUAGUUUCAGGCUUGGUCAAGCGCGAUAAAAACCAUUUAGUAGGAGUCCCCCAAGUCGCCGAGCUAGGAGAUCUGCCAAAAGAGGUGAUAGACAAGGUAAGCAAUCAGAGCUCUAAGCAAUCAGUCGCAGAUCAAAAGUUUGAUUUCGAGUUCCGGCUGAUUGUUCUCAUUCUCCCUAUCUUGCAAGCAGCAUGAAGGAUAAAGAGAAGAAAAAGGAGAAGAGAUGAUAUGAGAUACUUUUGCUUUUGAAGAAGUAACUUUCCACAGGCUUAUUCUUGAACUGGGCUGAAGGGUUUUCUAGUUUCCUCCAGAGUAUAAAGCCGACUCAAGAAUUUGAGGGUUAAAACAAGUCCAUCAAAUCAAGAGUGCGUUCGACCUUGAUGAUAUGGGAUACUUUUGCUAUUGACAAAGUAAUAGAUGAAAUGGCACGUGUUCUGUUACGCUUGUCUCCACAUGCUUCCUUGUAUCCUUCUCACUUGCCCUAUCUGUUCCUCGGGCAGAUGUGGUAUCUUUUCUGGAAGCAUAAGAUGUUGAAGAUGAGUACUCGAGAGCAAUGCCAGGUAAGUAAUUAGGCAAGGGGUUCCAGGCAGUCAGUUCCUGACUGGAAGCUUGAUUCCAAGUGCUGACUGAUUGCUUUCUUUCUCCUUGUCUUGCAGUUAAGAACAAGGCCAAAGGAACAGGGAAAAAGCAUGAUAUGUGAUACUCUUGUUGUUAACCCUGAUGAUAUGAGAUACUCUGGCUCUGGUAUGGCUUGUUUGCAGAGGUAUUAUCGGGGGGAAAAUAAGUUGAGUAUUUCGAGAGACUCUGCUGAGAGUGCCCUCUCGGAUGUGAAGAAAAGUUGAGCAUUUUUUUUAUUUGCAGGUUUGCUUGGCUCUAGAGGAUGAAGGUCGACAUAUAUAGGAAUUAUCCCAACAGCGAGUAGUAAUGUUGUUCCUUUACCAUUCUCGGUCAUAGAAAUGUAGUGGAAGCUACAAGAUUCACGUGUUUCAACUUUGUCAGAGCACUUUGAAAAAGUGGUCUGUGGUAUCUGGAAAGCUGAUGUUGCAUGUGAAGAUUGUAGAUAAGCUUUAUCCAAGGAAAUCUGGCUCUCGAAGUUCAGAGAGUGAUGCCUUUUCGAUUUUCGAACAAGCAAUUAUGUCGGGGACCUGGCUCUCGAGAUUCGAAGAACGGUGCCUUUUCGAUAUUUGAGAAAGCAAUCAUGUUAGGAGUCUGGCUUUCGAGAUUCGGAGAGCGGUGCCUCUUCGAUUUUUAAGAAAGCAAUCCUGUUAGGAGUCUGGCUCUCAAGAUUCAGAGAGCGGUGCCUCUUCGAUUUUUGAGAAAGCAAUCCUAUUGUGAGUCUGGCUCUUUAGAGUCGGAUAACGGUGCCUCUUCGAUUUUUGAGAAAGCAAUCCUGGUGAGAGUUUGGCUCUUGAGAUUCGGGAAGUGUUGCCUCUUCGAUUUUUAAGCAAGUAAUCAUGUUGGGAGUGUUUUCUCGAUAUGAGUAAAGGUUGGGCAUUUUUGUCAGUCUACCUUGCCACGGAGCACGGAGGUUGACACACACAUGGACUUUCCAGUUAUCAAGCAGUGGUGCUGUUCCUUUACCCUUGUGGGUAAUGGUAGGGUAGCUGGACCUUCAAAAUUUAUGUGUCUAAAGUUUGUCAGAGAUCUUUGGCAAAGUUAUCUGUGGUACCUGAGGAGCUGAUGUUGCGUGUGGGGAUUGUCGACAUAUUUUACUCAGGAAAAUCUGCUUCUCGAAAUCUGGAGAGUGGUGCCUCUUCGAUUUUUGAACCAACGGCCCUGUUGCGCUUUCUGUUAUAAGGCACCAAUUAUGUGCAAGAAGUACGUUCAAAGAGUUAUUGCUUGUAGGAAUUUUCCCUUUAUUUUUGUACUACAAAGAUUUAUUGCACCUCAUUUCUCUUUCAUCAUUUCUGAGAAUGUCUGGCCCAUCCGACCGUCGUUUUUGACUUGAACUUUGGUGAAGAGGCAGCCAUGCCUUCUCAAGACAACAUAUAUGGCGCCCAUCCAUUCUUAUCCCUACUGGUCCUCUUACCGUUGGGGACUCUGUGAUGAAGAAGAAUGAUAUGACCGCUGCGGUGGUGGCCAGGAACCUUCUCACUCCCAAAGAUAACAGACUACUUUCCAAACGGUCUGAUGAGUUGGCUGUUAAGGAUUCUCUGGCUCUCAGUGUUCAGUGUGUGCAGGUUCUGUGUCUAAUAUGGCCCAACGCCUAUUUGCUCGAACCCGCCAAGUUGAAUCAUUGGCGGCUGAAGUGAUAAGUCUCAAACAGGAGAUCAGAGGGCUCAAGCAUGAGAAUAAACAGUUGCACAGGCUCGCACAUGACUAUGCUACAAACAUGAAGAGGAAGCUUGACCAGCUUCAAGAAUUUGAUGGUUAGAUUUUACUUGAUCAUCAGAGGUUUGUGGGUUUGUUCCAAAGGCAUUUAUUACCUUCGUCUUCUGGGGCUGUACCGCGUAAUGAAGCUCCAAAUGAUCAACCUUCGGUGCCUCCUCCUUCUGGGGUUCUGCCCAGUACUGAGGCUCCGAAUGAUCACCCUCCGGUGCCUACUCUUUCUGGGGCUCUGCCGACUGCUGAGACUUCUCCUGAGCAACCUUUGUGAAGGCUCCCUCUUGUUUGUUUAUUUUGAUUCAUGUAUAUGUACAUAUUUGUAACUUAUCGGAGAUAUCAAUAAAUAAGUUUUGCUUCAUUUCAACGUGUUGUGUUAAAUACACCAAAGUCUUCUUCACUAAGUUCUUUGAAUUUUUCUUUUGUUGAAGCUUGUAUGUUGAAGCUUUGUGAGUGAAGCAUGUAUGUUGAGGUAGUGCUCCCUUAAUUUCCCGAGUGAGGAAAACUUCUCGGUUGGAGACUUGAAAAAUCCAAGUCACUGAGUGGUCGUGAGACUUCCGAGUAUCAAGGUACAAUAGCAUAUGAUAGGAGUCCCCAAGUCUCCUGGUCGAGAGAGUUGAUGAAUGAGGCAUUUCCUUUCUAAGUGGUAGCCCAAAACUCCUCAUUCAUAUAUAUUUGAUAUGAAAGUUGUUAGGCCUAAAGUAGAUGAGGCCUAGGCAAUUUUUUUUUUUAUUUUUUUUUUUCAAAUUUUCGAAUUUUCUAAUUUCCGAAUUUUUGAAUUUCCGAAUAUAUAUAUAUAUUUUUAAGCUUUGUAUGUAAAGCUUUGGUGUUGAAACUUUGUUGGGUACCAUGAAUUAAUUUUGCUUCAUACUAUCUUAAUCAAGAGUGUGAAGCUUUUGUGGGUGAAGCUUUUGUGGGUGAAGCUUUUGUGGUGGGUAAAGCUUUUGUAGAUGAAGCUUUUGUAGUGGGUGAAGCUUUUGUAGGUGAAGCUUUUGUGGUGGGUAAAGCUUUUGUGGGUGAAGCUUUUGUGGGUGAAGCUUUUAUGUGGAAGCUUUGGAGUUGAAGCUUUGUAGGUGAAGCUUUGGUGUUGAAGCUUUGUAGGUGAAGGUUUGGAGUUAAAGCUUUUGUUGGGUACCAUGAAUUGAUUUUGCUUCACACUAUCUUGAUCAAGAUAGUGUGAAGCUUUUGAGAAUUUGUAGUUGUCCUCCAUUGAUGAAGCUUUUGUUGGUGAAGCUUUUGUUGGUGAAGCUUUUGUGGUGAAGCUUUGUUGGGUAUCAUGAAUUGAUUUUGCUUCACACUAUCUUGAUCAAGAUAGUGUGAAGCUUUUGCGAAUUCAUAGUUGUCCUCCAUUGAUGAAGCUUUGUUGAAUUUCCCAAUUUUUUUUUGGGAAACUAGAAAUUUGAAAAUGUGGGAGAGACAACAUAUACAAAUUUUGCUUCCACACUGUUGAGCAAGAGAUUGUGAUGCAAGCAACACCUUGUAGUAGUUGAAGGUUUGGAUGAACCAUAUAAAUUGAAUUUGAUUCGAACAGUUUUGAUCAAGAGUGUGUGAAGCUUUCUACGAAGUUGUAGUUGCCCUUCAUUGAUGAAGCUUUUGUUGGCACCAUAAAUUGGUUUUGCUUCACACUGUCUUGAUCAAAAGUGUGUGAAGCUUUUGAGAAUUGUGGUUGAACUCCUUUGAUGAACCUCUUGUUGGCACCAUAAAUUGGUUUUGCUUCACACUGUCUUGAUUAAGACUGCGUGAAGCUUUUGAGAAUUGUGGUUGCCCUCCAUUGAUAAAGCUUUUGUUGGCACCAUAAAUUGGUUUUGCUUCACACUGUCUUGAUCAAGAGUGUGUGAAGCUUUUGAGAAUUGUGGUUGAACUCCUUUGAUGAAGCUCUUGUUGGCACUAUAAAUUGGUUUUGCUUCACACCGUCUUGAUCAAGAGUGUGUGAAGCUUUUGAGAAUUUUGUUGCCCUCAAUUGAUAAAGCUUUUGUUGGCACCAUAAAUUGGUUUUGUUUCACACUGUUUUGAUCAAGAGUGUAUGAAGCUUUUGAGAAUUGUGGUUGAACUCCUUUGAUGAAGCUAUUGUUUGCACUCUAAAUUGGUUUUGCUUCACAUUGUCUUGAUCAAGAGUGUGUAAAGCUUUUUACGAGUUGUAGAGUUUGCAUUGUUACAGAGGAGAAAUGUCUAAAGCAGAUGUAAGAGGGUUGGAUAGCUUGAUCUUUGUAUGCCAUGCACUAAAGUUGUUGUUGGGCAAUAAGAUUUUGUUGGUGACUAUAACUCUUGUUGGGAAUAAGUGCUCCCCUAGUUGAGUUGUCAAGCUUGAGGGUUUUUGAUUAUUUGUGAAUGCUAAGAGUUCACAUGUACAAGUUGUACCACUCGUCUUCUGGUAGGUGGAAUGAAUGGUGAGUUGCUUUCAUCAAUUGGUUGGUGGUACGAAGGUGAGUUCCUUCGUCACUUUUCAUCACAUUUCAUCACCUGGUUGGUGGCACGAAGAUGAGUUCUUCUUUACUUGGUUGGUGGCAUGAAUGGCAAGUUGCAAAAUGAUAUUAGAGUACAGGUUGUACAUUUCAUCACCUAGUUUGUGGCAUGAAGGAGAAUACGGGUUGUACAUUUGAUCACCUGGUUGGUGGCAUGAGUAGCAAGUUGCCAAAUGAUCUUAGAGUACAGGUUGUACAUUUCAUCACCUAGUUGGUGGCAUAAAGGAGAGUACAGGUUGUAUAUUUCAUCACCUGGUUGGUGGCAUGAAGGAGAGUACGGGUUGUAUAUUUCAUCACCUGGUUGGUGGCAUGAAGGAAAGUAUGGGUUGUACAUUUCAUCACCUGGUUGGUGGCAUAAAGAUGAGUUCCUUCUUCACAUUUCAUCACCUGGUUGGUGAGAAUAAGGGCAAGGUGUCGAGGCACAUUGUAGCAAGUGUCGAAUGACACAAAGUAUGUUGUACCCUUGCAAAGCACAUUUGGCUUAUGUAUGAAUGUGUUGGAAUGAAUGAUUGAACGAAUAUACUGUGAAGCUGUUCUUUUUUUUGUAUAGUCUUGUUGACAUAUACUUAGACUUUGUUUCAUGUUGGAAGCAUUCAUGUUGAAGCUUUGAACCCAAAUGUUUCAUUGCUAGGAAUGUAAGAGGAUUAGGACCGAUUUGUCUAAAUCACAUUUUUAUUGAAUUCAUGACAAAUAGUCUUCGUUACAUAGGAUGCUGAAUGGCUAAAGCUUAACACUUGUACAAUGUGAGUUUACUCGUAAUAGUACUUCAAGUGAUCAGGGUUCCUUGGAUGGCCAAGAGUCUUGCCAUCGGAGCUUCUAAGCUUGUAGAAGCCAGAGCGACUGAUGCAACAACUUCAAACGGUCAAUCCCAGUUUGGACUAAGUGUUCCUUCACUCGGGACUCUGUCGCAGAGUAAUCUUUUCUUCAAUGUUGGAGUAUCGUGUCUCUGCAUCUUGUAAGGCUUUGCUAGCGUAGUAGACAUGACGUUUGACAUUACCAUCAUUUUUGAAUGAGAACGGAACUUACUGCUGAAGCCGAUACCGACAGAUAGAUAAUGAGAGUGUCACCAACCUCAGGUUUGGAGAGCAGAGGGGCUUUACUCAUGUAGUAUUUGCGGUUCUUGAAUGCCUUGGCACAUUCAUCAGUCCAUGUAAUGUACUUCUUACUUCCCUUAAGUGCUUUGAAGAAAUGAGCACAUCUGUCUGUGGCUUUAGAUGAACCUAGUAAAGGCUGCCACCUUACGAGUAAGGCUCUGGAUGUCUUUUAAAGUUAUCGGUUCCUUCAUGUCGAGGAUUGAUUUGAUCUUCUCGAGAUUAGUCUCAAUGCCUCAUUGGCUUAUCAUAAAGCCUAAGAAUUUGCCAAAGCCUACGCCGAAGGCAUAUUUGUUGGGGUUCAACCUCAUUCGAUACCUCGUCAGAAUGGUGAAAGUUUCAGAUAGGUUAGCGAUGUGUUGGUCAGUAUGUUUGCUCUUGGCUAGCAUAUCAUCAACGUAAACUUCAAUGCUCUUCCUAAUCUGUUCGGCGAACACUGAAUUGACUAGUCUCUGAUAAGUCGCACCUGCAUUCUUUAGGCCGAAGGGCAUGACUUUAUAGCAAUAUAGUCCUCUAUCAGUAGUGAAGGCUAUGUGUUCUUGGUCCGGAGGGUUCAUGAGGAUUUGGUUGUAUCCUGAGUAAACAUCCAUGAAGCUCAGGAGUUCACACCCUGCUGUAGAGUCUAUAAGUCUGUCAAUGAGAGGAAGAGGAAAGCUAUCAUUCGGGCAUCAUUUGUUUAGAUCGGUGCAGUCGACACACAUUCUCCACAAAACCUUUUAGAGCAAGAGACUUUCUUUGGUUGGAUUUUUCUUAACAAUGACCACAUUUGUUACCCAUGUUGGGUAAUUGACUUCACGGACGAAGCCUAUGCCUUUGAGUUUUUCAACUUCUGCCUUCAUUGCUUUGUAUUGUUCAGCAUCAUAAGAUCUUCGCUUCUGUCUCACUGGCUUGGUCUUGGGGUAAAUACUCAAGCGAUGACAUAUGAUAUCGGGAGAGAUGCCUGGCAUGUCCUCGUAUGACAAGGCGAAGACCUCAGUGUUCUCUUGCAAAAAAGAGAUCAAUGUCAACCGAAUAGGUGGUGACAAGGUGGUGCCAAUCUUCACCAUGCGAUCUAGAUAAUCUUUUGAUAUAGAAACCUUCUCCAGCUCUUCAGUAGGUUGUGCUUGCUGGGUGAAAGAGUCAUCUCGAGAAUCGUCAGGUUGACUAUUGCCACCGUGAAGAUCCAAGUUGGCUUUGUCCGGGCUGGUCUUUAUGACUUGGUCAUGUAUAGAAAAGGUUUCCUUGGGCACAUACAGGUGUUGUUACUUGACUGAAGUGUUGUAACAUUACCGUGCACUAAGUUAAUCUCAUCUGAUGUAACCAUUGCCAUAGGGGGUUGGAAAUUUCAUCAACAACAUAUGUGUGGAUACCAUGGCCUUGAGAUCAUUGAUGCAUGUGCGUCCAAAGAUGACAUUGUAUGCCAUUGGGCAAUCAACUACCAUGAAGUUAGUGGUAAUGGUAGCUGUGUAAGAGCAUGUACCAAUGGUGAAAGGUAAGUGUAUGCUCCCCAAAGGUUGCACAAUAUCACCGAAGAAGCUUAUCAGAGGAGAAAUCAAGCGAUCGAGCAAGUGUUCAACUACAUUAAGUGCCUUAAAAGCUUCAGCAAACAUGAUAUUGACUGAAGCCUCCGUGUCUACCAGGAUUCGUCGUACUUCAAAGUUAGUUAUGUGAGCUUCCACGAUCAGUGGGUCGUUGUGAGGGUAGAUGAUACUUCUUUCUUCCUUAGGGUAGAAACACAUUGGAUCCCAAUUAGGCUUUUGAUACUUGCCUCCUCUGAUGUCUUCCACGUGAAACACUUAAUGGCCAGACCUUAAAGCUCGUUCACUAUUUUUCAUAGCCCUGUUGGAAGAUUUAGAUAUGGGUGUGCCACCACUUAUGGAAUAUAUCACAUUCACCUGGCGUUGGUUACGGUUACCCCUUGGAGGGUGAAGGAGGAAUUGAUCAAUUUUUCCUUCACGUGCCAAAGCUUCAAUAUGAUCACGAAGGGUGAUACACUUCUCGCCGUCAUGGCCGUUAUGCUCGUGGUAGCAGCAAAAGGUGCCCGUGUUCUUCGUAGGCUUGUAACCCCACUGCCUCGGCAUUGGCUUCCGUAUCAGGUGUGCUAUGCUGGGGUAAAUGGCCACGCAUAUGGCGUUCAAAGGUGUGUAUGUCUCAUACCUCGGGGUAGAGUCUGUCUUGACACGUGCUUGGCCCACUGUGUUGAUUGCCUGGGGGCGGGCAUUAUCGUGGCGAUACCCUUGGUUAUCGCGAUAAUGUCCCUUACUCCUUUUACUAAAAUGAGAUUGGUGAGGAUGGAAAUCUUUCAUUUUGCCCUGAGAUUGAUAUGUCUGUUGACUUGGCGAAGUAUUAAGUAAGGCAGGGGGAGGCACCGCUGCCAUUUGGAAGGUCGAGGUCUUCUCAUUUGGUUUGAUCUGGCUUCUACUCCCUACUUGCUGAUAAGGGAUGGCUAUGAGGGGUUCCCUUGGUACGUCCUUGCCUCGGCGGAGGCAUGGUUAUAAGCCUGGGCCAUCACCUAAGUCUUCCAAGUGUUGGCAUUGAUCAUGUACUUAAAGAAAUAGUCACCUAGGCCUGCCAUAAAGGCUUUGAGGGCAGUCUUGUCGUCUGCCUCGGCACAAUGGGACUACUCAUGGCUGAAGCGACCAACAUACAUACGUAAUGACUCGUCUGGCUUCUGGCGAAUAGUGUACAAGUCAUCCGCAGAGUGCAAGCAAUCGGUUUAGAAAAUGUGUUGAGAAACAAACAGUUUCCUCAAUUCCUCAAAUGAGUCUACCGUCUCAGGUGGAAGACGACAAUACCAGUUUAGAGCUCCACCAGAGAGGGUAGAGGGGAAGAGAAGACAUUGCUUUUCGUCGGUGUGCAUCCGGUAUGCCAUGGUGGACUAAAAAAGGUUAAGGUGUUAAUCGGAUCCUCCGUUUCAGUAUAGAGUUACAAGCCAAGCUUAUGCUUUAUCUUUGCUUGGAAUGGGUGUCAAGGAUCCUCCUUGUAAGAGGGCCAUGCCUAGGUUGGUUCCAAUCAGGUAUCUCAGCUUGUCGUUCGGCCUUCAACUUGUUUACUUCCUUAAAAAGUUGUAUGACAAAAGGGUCCUGAGUGGAGUCAUGUACCACUGGAGCUUUCUUUCGUAAAUCUUCAUCUCCUCUUGGAAGUAUGAAGGUUUGAUCAAGAGCAUGUGAUUUUUCCCUGGACUCACCGUACUGACUUCCAAGGUAUGUCUGUCGGAACAUCUCUGAGUCCCAUAUACCUUCGUGUUUCUCUAGGACUUGUUGCCCCUUCCCCAAAUUGGUAACCGACUUGGGACAUGGGAGGGGACCGAGUCUUUCAGAGACCCUUGGGUCAUUGAUCUUCGAGCUUACAUGGAUGGGAUUGUCUCGACGUUACUUUAGGAAAUCUCGACAGUCGCAAAAGACGGCUUUCGAUCCUUCCACUCCUUCAGUAAGAAAGUGUCUUCCUCCACUUCUCCUACUUCGGGUCAAAGCAGCUGGGUUGAGAGAAGUCUCAUGUUGAUCAAUGUUUUGAUGAUUAGCUCGCUCCUCAUCAGGGAUACCCAUGUCGAAGAAAUAUGACCCUCCAUGUUAGGGGGCACCUAGAUGAUGGUUGAUGUCCACAAGGGUAACGAGCUCGCGUGUUUGAGUACGCCUAGUUUCGUGGAGCUUCUCAAAGAGUUUCUCAUACUGCUCCUGGAGGACCUCAUUCUUCAUUGUUAUCUUGUUGUUCUGAGCUUCUAGCUCAUCGACUUUUGCUUGAAGAGCAAUCCUCUUUCCUUCCUUCUUUCGUUGCCUCACACCAAGUGCAAAAUGUGUCAUUCUGCAUGUUGUGGCUUCCUUCGCUCCCCAUGUUGGAGAGGGAUGCCUGGUCAAAAAAGAGUGUACGAAUGGUGGAAACCAGCUUAACAAAGUUGAAGAGAGUGGGAAUAAGUGUCGUUCCCAUAGACGACGCCAAAUGUUAAUACACAAAAUCAGUGAGGACUUUGGUACAACAAAAAAUGUUAAGUUUGAGACCUACGCUAGAUUGCUCCGGUCACUAGUGUGGAUAAGUAUGUAAAUAGAUAAAAGCAGGGAAACAAACACAAGAUGUACAUGGUUCACCAUGAUUGGCUACGUCUACAGAGUAGAGAAGUACUAGUGAAUGAUUUAGUACAAAUGACAUUUGGAAAUAUUGUGGGAGAAUGAUCUCAUUUUAUAGAAGAGAGUUUCUAGCUUUGUUUUGACAUUGACACGUGUCGUGUUGUGAUUGGCUUCUAAUGUUGAAACAGAUCGCGCUAUGAUUGACUUCUAAUGUCGACAGGCCUCCUGGUUAGAGGGAAACUCUUCUGGGUCCUUGACGAUAUAACGUUGACCGGUACUCAGUAGUUUCGGGAUUGGUCAAGUAUGGUACAAACACAUGCAAUCAAUCAUAAGCAAUUAAAUAAAAAUUACAUAUUCAUGCUAAGGCUCAAGGCUUCACCAUUCAAAUCAUAGAAAAUAUUCUUAUAAAGAAAAGGAAUGAAAACACCUUAAAGUAGAAAAUCUUCAAGAACCCUAGCAAUUCUCUAUGUCUCCAAGUUUGCAUAAAAGAAACCGUACAGAAAAAACUAGGGCGGCCAAAGCCGUAUACCCUACGCCAAAAACCAACGCACAAUCCCUAGAAAAUAGUCUUUUGUUCCAACUAGGAAACCAAAUAAUAAAUAAAAUAUCUUAGAAAAUAAAAUCCUAAUUAUACUAGAAGAAUCUGCCAAGUACUUGUCCAGCCACGUUUUAGCCUCAGAUAUCCUCCAAAUGCGGCCCAUGAUAGCUUGUUUUGAAGAUCGGGACGUUCUGAACAUAUCUCCAGAAGGCCACGAACCCAUCCGAGGUCAUCUUGGGCUCCAAAAACGCAAUUCAAGCCCAAAAUUUCAUUAUUCCAGCACUGCACGUCCUUCAACUGGAAUUACUCCAAAAUUCGUCCAUUUGACCACGCUUUUCUCCAAAGGAAGUCAAAAGUCUUAUAUUAGAAAUACAAUUCUAAGUAUCAAAAUUCUUCCAAAAUAUACUAAGAAUAUAGUUAAAUAUAUAAUAUAAAAUCUACUCAUCAACCCCCACCCUUUCUUCUCUCCUUUGCAACCCCCACCCACCCUCCCUUCCUUCUCUCCUCUGCAACCCGCACCACCCACCCUCCCUCAUCUCCUCUGCAACUCACAUCACCCACCUCGCACCAAUGGUACCGCCCAUCUCCUCUACAUUCAUCAUCAUCUAUCAUCCAUUGUCAAAGAAAGAAUUCGGAGAUUUCGAAUGGUAUAAAGCCAAAAACCCUAAUUUAAAAAAAAAAAACCAGAAAAAUGAUGAAAUGAGAGGAACAUGGCUGGAGAACACGGAACGAGCGCGCAACCAUGCCGGACGUUAGAAGAGCGCUUGCUCGUUUACGCCGUGAACUGCUAUGACACCCAGAGUUGGGACUCCAUCGCCUUGGAGGUUGGGGGUCGCUGCUCCGCCAAAGCAACGACACUCCUCAUUGCUCUGAAUUGUAGGGACAAGUUCGCCGGAGUUCAUUUUUCUGGUAAGGUUCUCCGGUGAACCUUCCCGCUGAUCCUUUCCUCCGCGCUUGAGAUCUUUUCUCGGACAAGUGGCCUCAGCGUCCUCCUUCAAGCUACGUUCCCUCUCCUCCUCUAACCUCUUCACAUUCAACUCCAACAACCUGUAAAAAACCACACUCUCAUAUCUAAGACCAUUAAACGACGACGCCUUACACUCGAAUCUCUCACAACAGUAGCGAAAUUUACACAAUUGAAAUGUAGCGACGGGGACCUAGCGUCGGAGCUCCUUGACCUUCAGCCUUCGCAGCUCGUCAACCAUCACGCCCAUGCUCCUGGACGAAUCGUCAUUGUCUCCCAAUACGAAAUUAGGGUGGGUGGUGUGGGUUGUAGAGGAGAUAAGGGAGGGUGGGUGGUGCAAGUUGCAGAGGAGAGAAUGGAGGGAAGGUGGGUGGGGGUUGCAGAGGAAAGAAGAGAAGGUGGGGGUUGCAAACGAAAGAAGGAAGAGACGUGGUUGGGGGGAGGUAGAAGAUGGGUGGGUUUUUUUUUUUGUGUUUUUGUAUUUUUUUUUAUUUUUUAAUAUUGAAGUGGGCCUAUAUUGACACAUGGCGCCUAGUAAUUGUCCACGUGGGUGCCACGUCAUCAGUUAACAGAAGUUCUAACAGAAAACUUAACAGAUGUAUAAGACUGUCUCAAAAUUAACACUUUAGGUAUGACUCUAGGACGAAAAAAACUUCAUGUACUAAAUGUUGAAAACCACAAAACUUGAGGGUAAUAAACUGAGAUUUACCCAAUACUAAAUUUAAUCAAACAAUCAUAUAGUUUCAGAUAUAUGUGAUCUUUGAGAUAAGACACAAAAAAUAGACGGCAGAAUCUUUAAAAUAUAUGUACUAAGUGGCUAAAUGUGUGUCAGAAUGUCAAAAGUGUAUGUGUGUUUUUGGAUAGGGUAAUGUUAAGGAGACCAAGUUUCUAAACCAAAUUUUGCAAAUAAAAUGAUGUGGAUGCUAAUGAUUGAUUUAUUACUUAAGUGUCGAUUCACUUUAUGAAAAACCACAUUUUUACACUAAAAAGUCAAUCAUGGUACUAUUCACUUUACCCUUUAUUUUGUUAUUAUCGUUAAAACUCAAAGUUUUCAAGCUACUUUCAUUAGUUUUCCUUAUUUUUUAUUGAUGACACAUAAUUUGGUCUACAAAUUUAAUUUAAAAAUUUGAACUUAGUAUUAUCCUUUCGGAUAUAUGCUUUCCUCCAGACCUAAACAAGGGCUGUGAAAAUAUAAUCCUUCAUCUAAUAAAAAUAUUGGAAGACCUAGACUUUUUCUAUAUUUUAUUGUUCAUGGGAAAGUUAUUGGUAGAAGUUCAGACGGCAGAGUUUGGUCUUUAACAGAUUCGUGAGCAUGGCGUGUAAUGUCCAUUUGUAAUAACAAGAGACAGUAUCAAACACAAUACCUUGUGAGUUGUGCUAUAAGACAAAAUAUCAAUGGGUCACAACUUGGCUCUAUAUAUAGGGCCGUGAAUCUGUUCUAAAUCCUUUUGUCAUUUCUCUCCUCUUUCAAUGUUUCUUUGAAUAAAUUAUAUACAAAGAAUACUUUCAUUUUUAAUGAUAUCGAUGGAAAAACCCAAACACGACGGGAAGAUACAGGUUUGGGAUUGAAAUAAUAUCAGUGUGAUUAUACUAAGUUGUUGAUUCAUUUUUCUAAAAUCAAAAUAAUGCAUAAAUAAUUGUUAUGAAGCUUGAGAAUUUGAAAGUCCAACUCAAAGUUUAUUAUAUCUUGUUCUUGUUCUCCAGUUGAGAAGAUAACAGUGGACUGGUUUUAAUAAGUUAAUUUUCCUGUUUAAGAUUGUAAUACGGUCUAGUGGUAUUUCUUUUCACUGGUUAGUGAGAGGUUUUAGGUUCAAAUCUCGUCAAAUGCGAAUUUGAACCACUUUAUUGUUAGCUUAUUGUGAGAUUAAGCCUACCCUCUUUCCUUAAUAUAGUUAAUAUCGAUUGUUAAAAAAAAAUUGUAAUUAAUUUGCAGAGAUAAAGAAAUAAGGAACACGAGUGCUCAGAGUUUGUAGGUUCGUUAGCCAAGUCAUUUUUGUUUUCGGAUACCUUAUUAUUGAAACAUACUGUCCAGUCAACUGCUCCACUGCAGACGUCAUGGGUUAUGUCACAAACUUGCUUGGCCAGUUUCAGCAGCGUUAAAGACAAAUGUCAACAAAUUAAAUAUUAUUUUUAAUAUAUGAUUAUUUUAACACUACAUAAAAAUUUGGAAUAAGAUUACUUUAAGCUUAUUGUUACCCUCUUUUUGGCUAACAUUUCACCGAUUAAUUUAUAAAAUAUUUUCAUUAAAAAAUAUACAAUAACCAACGGAUAAGUCCCAUUUAUAGCAUGUUAAAGAAGGCAUGAGUUGAAAGUAUACCUUAGAGAUUUUUAAUUUAUUUCCCUUUGUGUUUAACAUUUUUCGUUGUCAUUACGAAUUACUUUAGUACUGUGGCAAAAGCUAAAAUAAAAACUUUCUAGGGUGUGCAGAAAAUAUGGGCUUGUAUGAAAGUGUGUUUAAAAUAAUUGAAAGUGUUUUUAAAUAACUAAAAACACUUAUGAUCAUGUUUGGUAGAAAAAUUAGACGUGAUUAUGAGUUUCAAAAAAGCAUUUGAAGUGUUUUCUAGGAUAAAUAACUAUUGAUGAGGUGAAAAUCAUAGGCCAGAUUUUUUUUAUGUGUGUGUCAACUUUAGGGGUGGGCACUUAGAACCGAAAACCAAAACCGAAACACGAACCAAAUCGAACCGCACCGAAUGAUUUGGUUUUGCGGUUUUGGAACGGUUUCGGUUUUGAAGCCGAACCGCAACAUAGAAAACGGUUUGGUUUCGGUUUUGGCUUUUGAAAACCACACCAAAACCGAACCACACCGCAAAUAUUAAUAAACAUUUAAUUAAAUGUCUAUAUUAAAUUUCAUGUUUUAAUUGGUUAUUUGUUAGAAUCCAUGCACUUAGUAUGAACACAACCACACUAGAAUAUCAUCAUUCAUGACUUUAUUUCGUUCAUUAACUUGAAGGACCUUUAUUAUUUUAUACCAUCACACACACACACGCAUAUAUAUGUACAAGGGUGGACUAAUCUUGUUAUCAAGAGUCGAACAAUGAUCUAAUGAAGUCCACUCAUUUGAAGCAUGAUAUCACAUAUUCUAGUAUGAAAGUUUCGCUCAUGUUUAAUGAAUUCAAAGUUAUUCAACUUGUUUUAUGUUAUACCUUGUAUGAGACACCAUUUUGUUGCAAAAACAUAUUUUAACAUCACAACUGCAUGCAACAUGCUAAUUGUUUAUGUAACAAAUGUCUUUUUCCUAUUGCUAUUGGGAAAUGCUUAUUAAUAUGUUAAAUUGCAAAUUGUACAUUUUUUCUUAAACAUCAAACCAAAACCGUUUGAAACCGCAUCGAACCGAACCAAACGGUUUGGUUUCAUUUCGGUUUUGGCUUCAAAACCGCACCGAACCAAACCGCAAAAAAUUUUGAUUUUGGUUUUGGUUUUGGUUUCACUCAAAACCGCACCGAACCAAACCGUGCCCACCCCUACUUUGCACAUGUAAAUAAAUAUAAAUAAAUAAAAAUAAAAAUGAAAUGGUUACCUAACAACUAAAGAUAUAUAUAAUUUUAUAAUAAAACGAGAGGUCUUUUAAAUUACUUUUUUUUAAUUGUCUUUUAAUUUACUUUGAAAAACAUUGAUAACUUCCAAACAUAAAAGUAUAAAUAUUGGGAAGUAGAUUGAAGUGAGACAUGAUUUAACUGUAAUUUUGUGCUAAUAUAUUGUUUUAUGCAACUUUCUAGGUAGGCAAGUCCAAAUCCCAGGAAAUUCUUUUCCUUAUUUGCCAGAAUAACAUGAUGAUGUAGUAUAAAGUGUACUAUACUACCUCAAUUCCCAAGAAGCAAGAUUCCUUCUUAACCUUUCAAUUAUAAAAACACCUGUCUUAUUCUACUUACUUACCCUAUGAAUAUUGAAAAAGAACAAACACUAGAAGUACAAAAUGGUUGGUCUUAAGCUACGAGGAGCCCUUUUCUUUCACUUUUCCACGAGUUUCUUUUCCAACUUGUCAUUUCUGUUUGAUUUUCUUUUCCUUUGGUCUCCCUUUUGCCCGAGAUUUUGAUUCCUUUCGGCAUAAGAGAAAGCAAUACGUAUUGCAGACGAUGGAUAUUGGAUACUCUCUCUGUUUAGGGAAACUGAAACUAAAUAAAGCAGAGUUCUUGGUGUGAUGGCUUUAACAACACGUUUUUUGGACGGUAGACUCAUCUCUCUUUUCCUCUUCCUUAAAGCUUUAAUAUUAUUAAGUUCUCAAGCUACUUUAGGACUUAAGAAUGAAGCACCAAGACAAUAUCCCACACUUUCUUUGCUAAAAAUAAAUAACAAGACAACUGAAAUGAAUUGGUAAGGAGUAUUGUAUAUCUUCAGAAAAAAAAAUAUGAAGUAAAUAUGAAUAACUACCGAUUGAUUUUUUAAAACAUUUCAAUUAAUAACUUAAUGUCUUAAAAAAUGGAUAUUUGUUAGGUCGCCAGUUUUAAUUUUCUAAGUAGCCCUUUAAAUUCCGCAAUACUAUUUGAUAAAUUGUUUAUUUUCUAGGUCAUCCUUUAAAUUCAAUCAUGCAAAAAAUCAACCUAAUAAAAAUUCAUUUAACCAUGUAAUUAUUGUUUCAUAAUUUAAGUAUUUAAUUGAAAUCAUGAUCUUUCUAUACCCAAUGACAGUUUGAUGACUGAGUGAUAUCAGAUUUCGUUGAUUUUGAUUGAGGGACCUAAAAAAUAGACAGGUUAUAUCAUCAUUCAACUAUGUAGCUGCAAUCUUAGUCUUGUUCGAUACAAGUUUUGAUGUCAACAAUUCUUAUUAGUAUGCAUGUGAAAGCGAUGAAAGAACUUUCCACCAUUGAAAAUUGGUGUGUGCGUUCCGGGAUAAGAAGGAUAAAAGGAGAAUGUCCAAAAGUGAAAGUUGCUAGCAUUCCUCUCGAUAUUUUGUUGAGAUUAUAGAAUAUCACAUCAUGAUUAAUGCAGAACGACAAAGAGAUGGAGGAUAAAUUUUGAAAACACAAAGCCUAACAGAAAAAUGAUAGAAGAACAACGCUCAAUUCUUCAUAACCAUAAAAUUAUAAUUUCAAAUUGUCUGAUCGCAACUUCUCAACCCUCCUUGAUAUACUACGUUGCCACAACUCAUUCGUCAAUGCUCUUACAAUUUCCUAUGCCACUAAAGCACAUUUAACAGCAAUUAACAAGUCCCCACACAAAACCUAAUUAAAACAUUAAAUCAUAGUAAAGCAUGAAUAUGCCAUAACUUGACUUAAUGGUUCAGCACCAAAACUCGAAGAGACUAAAUUAAUUCACCCUCUUUAUGCACUGCAUCAAUGAUCAAUUUAGAUCCUUGUAACAUAUAGAAGACUUCAGGUCUCUCCAGUCAUUGUAAAUUUGUUUUUCAUUGGUAAUUAUCCCUUAGAAUGAGUGGCCAUCUCUUGCAAAAUAUUGAAUAUUUCGUAAAUUUUGUUGUCAUGAUUAUUCCAUUAGAUUAAGAGUUUAGAAUGAAAACAUGUACAUUUUAUUUUUGUCAAAAUUUUAAUUAGUCUAGUAUAAAGCACACUGCUUUGAUAUACUUAACUAUUUGCAAAACUGCAACAUCUAGUUUCCUCUUAAACAGAAUUUCUUUUAUUUUUUUUGGUAAUUGAAGCCUUAAGAAUAUUAAUACUGAUGACUGCUGAACUUGUGGAAUGAGGAUCCUCUCGGGAUCUUUAAAUCGUAUCUGUUUAUCGUAUAUUAUGUGGUUAGAAAUUAUUUUAAAUAUUUUUAUUUAAAAUUAAACAUGAAUAAUAUAUGACGAAAACUGAACGCACGAUAUACGAUGAACGAAUACGAUUUGAUGAUCUUCAGAAUCUUCACAAGGAGGACCCUCAUUCGAACUUGUGUAUGCCUGCUCAAUUCCCGAUGGUGAUCUCCUCCUAUUUUUGUCUUUGACAGUGACACCGCCAAACUUACGUACUAGUGAUUGGACAGUCAUUAUUUCUUAACAGUUUGAGGAACUAGCUAGCUAGGCAUCUUUCAGACGAGGAAAAAAGGAACCAGACAUCGUAAAGUUUAUGCUCAACUUUCUAAUUAACCAACAACCCUUCUUACCGUCGUUAAAGUAGGAUUAUAUAUUUGCCCUUUAAUUUGUUCUGUCAAAAUUAAGAAACUGCGAAAGAAAGAGUAGCUUAUAAUCUAAGCUCUCCUCUUGCGAUCAUAUGAUUCCUUUCUUGUCAAUUUUAUAAUAUGGUCUACGUACCCUACCAUUUAUGACAACUUUAGAACACGUAAAACUCAAGCCAGCCCCUAAUUUUAGGAUUAAAAUAAUAGGCAUGAGAUCGAUCUAGAUAUUGUGCAUAUGGCCCCUGUUGUCAAUAUGUGCAGAGACUGAUGUGUCCCGGCCGGACCAGAGGUCUUUCUGCAUGUUAUUGCAUGCAUAAUUUAGGUAAUUAACUAGUUCCCCUGAUAUUAUUGGCACAUGGGGUAUCUUUCUUAAUGAAUAAAUCUAUUGCUCGCAAGUUAUAUUAACCAGUAAUUAACCUUCAUUAUCAAUAAUCCAUAGGUUCUUUCAGAGAUUGAAUUUCUCUACCUUCGAUUGUAUUGAGAAAAACUACUUAAUAAAUAAAUCCCUUGCACUAAUUAUUGUUUUUUUGUUUAAUUAGAAUCAUCAUUCUUUUCAUUAUUUUUGUUUUUGUUUUUCAAAUUCCUGAUAGCCAAAUUUGGUAGCAUAGUCGAUAAUUGUAUGAAUGUCGCUUCAAUUCACAUAUAAUACACAGACAUAAUAAUCUAUAUGUUAUAGAUAUAGUGAAUAUUUGUAAUGUUAUUCAUGUUCCAGACAAACAAAAAAAGAUAUUGACUUGUGCACUGCUUACAAUGAUAAGACAGUUAAUACUGGCCUUUUCUGAAACCCGAAGGGUUUUUCAACUUUUAUUAUAUAUGUAGAUAAGAUACAUGAUGAGAUACAAUGUUAGGUUUGAGGGUUCCCCAAAAUAGAAUCCAAUGAAAAAACUAUUAGCAUUGAUAGUCAACGAAAACCAAAAACUACUUGCGGCAAUUUAAAAAAAAAAAAAAAAAAAAAAAACUACUUGCGGCAAUUUAAAAAAAAAUAAAUAAAUUGCAUAUGGUGCUUUACUGGCAGAAAGUAAUAAUAUUUAUACAAUUUGGUGAAAGUUCAAUCCCUAUUGAUUUUUAUUUUCGCUAACAUUUAAUACCUUAAUUCAUUAACGAAAUCGUUUGUCUAAAGAUAUUAAAAUCGAUGUUCCGAAGCACCAUAAUUUUUUUAGUUAAGAAGAUGAAAACUAAGAAAGAUCAUGUAUGAUCAUAUGUCCCGUUUCUUGUCGAGAAAAAUUUGUAUAUUAUAUGUAUAUUUCUACAGUUGUCAAAACAGACAAGACACGAACGAACAUACAUUGAAUACUAGCUAGUAUGGUUUAUGACAUCCCAUAAUAUGGAUCAUUCUUGGGAUUGUUAAACAGUACAAAUCUCUCAUUGUCCCAAAGAAAAAGAGAGUGGAUUAAGAAGGACCUAAAUUUCUUUCUCUUUCUUGUUUCACACACACACACACGAUCUCACAGAAAACUUAAGAAGGACAAGAUUAAUCUAGUUAAUCAGAGUUGAUGGAUCCCAAAGCCGUGUCAAUCACUCAACUUGAAAUGUCAAACGCUGGACAGAUCAAUGAUCUUAACCAACAGCCAUCAAAUUACGCCACAAAUAAACCCACCUAAAGCUACCUUAAUCCUAACUUAUCCUCUUCCUUCCAAAUAACAUGAACAAAGCAAUAUUCACACCAACCCCUCAUCUACCAUCUCUCUCUCUCUCUCUCUCUCUCUCUCUCUCUCUCUCUCUCUCUUCUCGUUCAUCAUGCCUGUCAAUCCCUCAUCUACCAUCCCUCUCUCUCUCUCCUCGUUCAUCAUGCCUGUCAAUAUAUAUAUAUAUAUAAAGUGAAAUAAUUUUUUCUUCAUCCACACACUUACAUUGAAUUAUUCAAUCUAACUAACUAUAAAAAAUAAAUAGCAAUGCGCAAGAUGAAAAAGAGAGUAAAAAAUCACAUUUGUGUAUUAACCUCUAUUUUCAUUACUCAUAAUAAAAAAUAAAGAGAAGAAAAUUCAAUCCAAAUGAAUAAGAAAGUCAAAUUAUACCAAUGAAGAACCUAAAUAAUAAGAAUUCAAAGAAUACCAAUUAGCUAGCUAGUUGUGGAGGAAAGGUAAUUCAUAUGAUUGAUUGAACAUAAUUAAACAAAAGAUGUACAUCCAGAAUUUACCAAUUGGUUAGUUGUGAAGGAAUUGAAGUAAUUCACACUCACAGAUGAUGAAGGAAUACAAAUAUAAAUCCAAAUCCAACUGUUUGAAAAACUCAUCCAAGUACCCCUCCUAUAUAUAACCUGGAAAUUCAAUCUUGCCCAGCAGGCUUGAAUCUAUCCAUGAACUUGUAAUACAAAUUAUACGGACGUGAUUGUCACGUUUUGGACCGUACAUAUCCCACAUAUAUAAAACCCAGAAACCAAAAAUCGUGAAAAAUAAAUAAGAAAAAAGGUGUAAUAAUAGUAGUCCGUUGAAUUGAAUUGGCACCGAUCCAUGAAGCAGCUUUGAUUUAUGUACAUGGGCAGCUCCUUUUGGCACGAGAACUGAUCAUAAAGCUCGAUCUGAACAUAUCUUCAACCUCUUCGCGGUUCGUGGUCUCGAAGAACUGCAGUUUCCUCUUGCAUGAAGAACCAACCCUUCUGGCCGGCUUUCUCGGCGCAGGCGGACAUGUAAGAAUCGUGGGGAUUUUGUUCUCUUUGGAUGUUGGUGUGCGGCACUCGGAGACAACGCUGUCGUCGAUAUGAGAUGGCGAUGGUUGCGGUCGUGGAUGCGGGGCUGAAAUUUUGAUGGUGGGGAGUCUUGGAUUUGGGAGGUCUUGGCAGAAGUCCAGACCAGUGGCCAUGGUGGUUUUUGUAGUGGAGAAACGGAGGAGGUGGGAGAUGGUGUGACAAAUAUUUAUAUAGAGGUGUUUUUGUUGGGAGCGAUAUGUAUGUUUUGUGGGGCUAUUAUAUAUUUAUGGAUUGGGGAGAUGGGAGGAGG
rnacentral:lncRNA from 1 species